rnacentral:lncRNA from 1 species
UUGUAGUUGUUUGAUAUAUUGUAAUUCUUAAAGUAGUCAAUUGAUAAUAUCCCCUAAAAUAAAUGUUCGUAAUAUGUUCUCAUUUUAAUGCAACUGAUUGUUUAAUAAAAUUGUAUUUCUUUGUUAAUCUUUUUUCAUGUGCAUGCUCAGUGAGAAUUUGACUUACUAGAACACAAGUUUGACUCUUCAUUUAAAUGUCUCUUGUAUCAUAUCCUUCAAUGUUGAGUGUGAUUCCAAUAAAAUUGAGUAGGGGGAUCCUUAAAUACCUUUUCCUUUUUUCCAAGGGCCUGCCAAAUUGCUCUAAGUGGUUCUACCCUUUAUCAAUGAAUUAUGACAAUAAAAUUUUUAUUAAAGCAUUUUGUUCCUUAAAUGGUGACUAAUAGUACCCCUUUUUUUGGAGAGGAAAGCCAAACAUGCCCAAAGAGAAUCAUUUACUUUCCUCUAAUGUAUUUUCUAAUUCGUUUUGAGCCUUGAAUGUCUGUUUUGGUGCGUAUUCUCAUUCCAUGUCGAAUCUUAUCCAUAUGGACAACCCCACUUACAAAAAAGUCUAAUGAAUCUAUUGAAGUUCAUAUGAGGUUUGUGCUUUAGAUUUAGACCUCUCUCUCUCUCUCUCUCUCUCUCUCCACUUACAUGUCUUUCACUUACCUGUUUGCAUGCAUGCCCAUUCACACACUUUCAAGAUAAUACACGGUCACUCGUACUUGUGUUUUGGUUGAAUUACUGGCUGCUAACCUCUGUAAUUCAGUUUGAAACUUGCCACCCUUAGUGCUUCACUCAAAUGGUUGGUUAGGGUGAGAUCUGUAUCGUUUUCCUGGUCUCUUUCCAAGGUUAUCUAAAGGGUUUUGGCAGUCUGAUUCUUUAGGGAAUAUCAUUGCAUAAGAUAUCUAUUGUUUGUUAAUGAAUAAUUUCUAUUUAACUAGUUAUCUAUAUAAAUUGGUCAAUUUUAACUGCAUAAUUUGCAUGCAAUAAGAUUUUAUAAGAAUCUUGUUUUCAACUCAUGACUUAGACUAAUGUGAUACGUUGAGCAUUAAGCUACAAGAUCUGCACAUCAAAGUGCUUCACAAUGUUAAGGAGAAAGCAUCGUUUUCUGCUUCUUCAUGUGAUUUAAAGUUUCCAAGGUACUUAUCCAAUAAAAUGUCUUUCAAGACUUUGGAAAUGCUUUUAUGUAUGACUGAGAGAAACUUGUUGGGUUGGUUUUUAGCAACAGAUGGAGUUAUGGACUUUGUGUUGACUUGUUAUUGAUUAAGACAGUACAUCGGCUGAUCUAUUGGCAUCAAGCAGCAGAUGCAGAAAUUAUGGGUGGCAUACCAUUGUAUCCAAAUAACAUACUACAUUGAUUUUUCUGACUUUCUGUUGGUCUCCGAGUGAAAUGCAGGCAUUUGCAGAUGAACUGGGGAUUCCUUUCCUGGAGACGAGUGCCAAAGAUGCAAUCAAUGUGGAGCAGGCUUUCUUGACCAUGGCCGGCGAGAUUAAGAAAAAGUAAAAUCACUUAACUCUUUCCUUCUUGCCGACUGUUCUUAUUUAACAAUCACCAUUAUUGCUGGUUAUAUGCAUUGUGAUGAAAAUUCUGCAAUGAGUAACUUUUUACCUAAUGUUUUCUGUUGGAACAAAUUACUCUGGUAGAAAAGCCCUACAGGGUUUGAGAAAUCCCAUGAUGUGAUGAUUGUGAGCAUUUUAGACACCGUGUAUGGGUUUAUUUUGUGACUAUAAAAUGUUAAGAUUGUUUCUAGUUUUGGUUUGUAGUGCAUAAAAGGAUUCAAAAUUUGACAUCUGUCUAAAUCAGAUUAAUAACAUGAUAAUGUACCUAUGCAAGAUGUGAGGAAUUGUUUUAUCUCACCCCUAAACUUUAAGAAAUUGAAACAUUAUUAUUCAAAAUAUUUAACAUUUCCAGAAUUGAUAGUUGUCUAUUUGAGCAGUGACUGGUGGUUAUCAUGAACUGAUGUGUGGUUGUGGUUUCAAAUCUUGGUGAAACCUGUUGUCAUAUGCUGAUUAACAUAGCUAGUCUCUGAAACAAUUUGUUGAUUCACUAAUUAUGAGUUCAAAUUUGAUGCAGAAUGGGCAACCAGCCUUCUGCAAACAAAUCUUCUGGAACAGUUCAGAUGAAGGGAUAGCCAAUCCAGCAAAACUGCAACCGCUGUGGUUAGCCGAGCAUCUUAUUUUACUUCUACAUGUUAGCUGACUGAUUGUAGACAGUUUUAACUAUGUUGACUGCAUUAUCUUAUGAAUCUUUUAAUCUGUCAAAUAUUUAUUUCCUGGUUUAAGUUCUUUCCCGUUUAUAACAAAUUUAAUUUCUUGCUCCAUUGCAUUCCAAAUUCCUGUCAAUUUACGAGGGAAAAGGAAAAGAGAGACAAAAUGGGAGAAAAUGGUCAAAUUUGUUAGGGGGAGAGAGCUGUUCAAGUAGUUUUUGUUCUCGUUUAUUGUCAUAUCGGAUGGGUAAAGUUACCGAAACAGCGUCAUUUUGGGUGAAUUAUCAUAUUUAUGUAACACUUUUGAUAAUAUUUUUAUGCAACAAAAAAAUGUUAGUACCCUUUUCACAUUGUGAAGCGCAUGAUCGGAUGAGAGCAGUCUGUAUUCUGGCAUCACAAGCUAAUGCUUUGAUUUGCUUAGUUUGUUUUUUUUUUUUUCAUGGAAUUUGGAGAUGUUGUACAUGUAUGAAGAUGACGUAAUAAAGUUGUUUUGAUAAAUUUCCCUGGUCGGUUUACUUCACUAACCAUUAAUGCGCAAAGCCUCCUAAUGACCCUAAAAAAUCCCGUACAUAAUUAAAGAAUUUCAAUUUUAUACGUACAAAAAUAAAUAACUCUCAAAUAUAUUAUUUGAUAAUUCCAAAAACAGCAAUUCAUUCUAAUAAAUCUCGUAGGAAAUACAUGGUCUAUAUUGCAAGUUUUUUUUAGACUAAUUCAAAGAGAAAAUAUGAAGGACAUAUUAUUGUCCUUUAAUUGUCAUAAAGAACUCUAAAUAAAUUCUUAUACGCAUUGCAACUAAUUACAGCCUUGAUACUUCAUUUGGUUUUUGUUAAUUUUCUAUACAGUUGUGCUGUGCAUUAAAGUUUUGUUAAAUGAAAUCGGUAGGUGAGGAUUAAUUAAUCAAUUAAUUAAGAUCCAGUUAAUGUAAUUAAUUUUAUUUGAUUUUUUUAAUUCGAGUUCUAAAUUAAUCAAUUAAUUUAGAUUCAUGUGAAAUUGAAGUGAAUUAGUUUCGAUCUGUUUUUCGUCCUAUGUUUGUCUGUGUUUACUCUUACUUUGUUUUUUUUGUUUAAAUUUUGUUUUCUUAUUGUUUACUGAAUAAAUUUCUGAGCUUUAUUUGAGUAUGAUGAUUGAUUUGUGAUUUUAAUCUAAAUGUGUUGGGCUGCGAUUUAAUUGAGUGAUGUGUGAGCGCCAAAUAUUCAAUAACUGAUAAAUUAUAUUUAUAAAUAUUAAUAGCGAUGGCACAUAAACAAUUAAUUCAAGAACUUGCCCAUAGUGAUUAAUUUAAAGAGUAUAAGUAACAUCGCAAUACAGUCUAGCCCUUACAUGUUUAAUUAGCAAUUGAAAACUACUGUUGCUGAUGAGGUAGAACAUUAUAACACUGUUGCUGAUGAGGCAGCUGGUAAUUCUUCUGGUGAAGAUAUUAAGACUAUUAAAGCUGAAAUGUAAUUAGAGAAAUAUAAUGCAUUCCCUUAGUUUGCUUUUUGUUUUUUAUAUUUGUUUGGCUAAUGCUUUGCUUAGAUUGCUUUUUGUUUUUUGAGAUUUUAUUGGCUUAGUCGUGGGGUAUUGUUUUCUCUUCUAAUUUCUAUUUUUGUUGUUAUGGGAUUUGAUUGUGGUGUACAUAUACGAAAAUUAUGUAAUCAAAUGCUUUCAAUAAAUUAUUUAAAUUAGUUUUCAACUGAGAUUUGAAUUUUGAAAUUACAUACACAAACAAGCCCUUUUUUUAAAAUACUAAUAAUAAAAUAUUUCAUUUUUCAUCUAUUACUACAAGAGGUAUAAUCGCAAAAGUGAGGAAGGCAGUCAUCCUCUGUUCAAUUAUCAAAAACUCCUUUUACCAUCCAUUUGAACAUACAUAAUCACGCCCAAUUUGAAAAAAAAAAAGUAGUAAUUUUAAAAUAUUUCAAUCGUCCACUGUUCAGUCACCAAAAACCAAUUUACCAUCCAUUUCAACGCCUAAUUUGAAAAAAGAAAAUACUAAUAAUAAAAUAUUCCAGUCGUCCAUCCUUUCACAAACCAAAAAUAUCACCAAAAACCAAUUUCCAAUCUAUUUCAAAACAAUUUUUGCCAAAGUCCUCCUCGGCUAAUUAAUUCAUACAUUAAUACAGUCCUCCUCUGCUGAAUAAUGCAAACCCGUUACGUUAUUCUACCAUUUCUUUUUAAAGCAUUCCACCAUUUAAUAAAAAAAUUCGAAAACCCAUUAUAUACAAUACAAAAAGCCCACCGACACCAAACCAUAUUAAUUUAAAAUAGUUUUCAAUUGAGUUUUGAAUUUUAAAAUUACAUACACAAACACACCCGAUUUAAAAAAAAUAAUAAUAACACUAACAAUAAAAUAUUUCAGCCGUCCUAUGUGUUAUCGCCAAAAACGGAUUUCCAAUCUAUUUCAACGCGCGGUAUAUGAGUUAACAAGUCCCAAUACUGUCCUCCAUCCUUUCUGCACUUCUCUGCUAUCAACGGACAUCUCGAGAUCCGUAAUUCCAAAAGUGAGGAAGGCAGGCCCUUCUCCGGAAAGUAUUUGAGCUUGGGACAAUCAAAGAGAUACAAUUCAGUGAGGUUUUGAAGAUCAACAAUUGAAGAAGAUAGGCGUUCCAGAUUUGGAAAAGCUUCAAUCCACAGAGAUGUUAGAGAGGCAGGAAGAGGAAGCGCGGUCCCUAAUCUUUUGUCCUCUAGUGGAAAUGAAACCAUGUCCUCAUCGCAUCUGCUGAUUGUAAGACGUCGCAGAGAGGAGAAUCUGUGAAAUCCCCGUCCCCGCUCAAUCAUUGACUUCCAAAUCUCCAUAUUACCCCAAAUAUCAAGUGACUGAAGGUUGGUGGGAAGGCCAUCUUCUUCUUCAAGGCUUGGAAGCGCACCUCCUUUUCCUAUUCUUAAGUAUUGAAGAGAGGUCAGAUUGUGCAUUCCCUUGGGUAAGGCCUCUAGUCUCUUACAAUCAAGUAUCGUCAGCCUCGUGAGUUUCGCACAAGGCAAUCCCCCUUCGGGAAAGGACACCAGAUUUCCACAACUAUCUAUACUGAUUGUUUCAAGAGAUGUGUUGUUGUCCAACCUUUCUGCUAUUGACCCCAGAGGUAGAUUGCCAACUUCAAGGGACUCAAGCGUGGCAGGUAACUCGUUUUUUGAAAAUAUACAUGUCAGAGAUGGACAACUAAUAAUUUCUAAGUGCUCGAGAAGAGAUGAGGUGUACCUUCUGCUGCUGCUGCUACACUGGAUGCCCUCUUCCACUGUCAAAGUCCUUAUAUUAUAGCAAUCGCAGAUCUGCAACUUCUUAAGGCUCGAUGGUAGCUGGACCGCAGCAAUAUAUGUCAAGGAAUGGCACUUCUCAAUAUCCAAGAUCUCGAGAGACGAAUUGGUGUCGCACAUCCAUGCCUCUGGUAACGAUUUCAGUGCAUCACAAUGCCUAAUCUGAAUUUUCUUCAACUUGGAAGGCAGAGCAACCUCAGGAAAGGAAACAAGGGAACUGCACUUGCAGAUUUCUAUCUCUCUCAAGGAACUGAGGCUGAACGAUGAUUGUGGCAGCUUCACAAGGCCUUCGCAAUUACUCAAUCUUAGAUAUUCAAGUCUGCAUGACAACUCGCAGAGCUGCUGUUGUUGGUCUUUCUUUUCCUCCGCCACCAAGGAUUGAAGUUUGGGACAGCUGUCAAUCGUCAGUCUUUUGAGAGAGCAAAUGUCUUGCAGUAAUUCGUUAUGACUCUUCCAUAUAUGUGUUUCAUUUUUAAUAUUUUUUAUCUCCAAUUCUUCCAGUUUUGGUAUUCGCGGCUUCAAUGGCCCUGCGAGAAACACUUGAUUUGAUGUAUCUCUACAAACCACUGAAUUCUGUGAGCCGAGAUGAUCAGUUGCACUUCUCCACACAACCUUUUUACAUCCACCAAUUUCCAUUUUGCAAAGAGCUGGAAGACUCGCAAUUGAAAUUGAUAAUUCUUCGCAUUCUCCAAUAACAAGCAUCUCCAAUGCAGGAAGGUGCUCUGGAAAUGUUCCUUGCAGUUUAGAACAUCUUAAAAUGUGAAGCUCUCUCAAUUUAGGAAACCGUUCAACUCCUUGACUGGAUCCAUGAGGAAUCCACUCUUCCCACUCUUGCAGGUCUUCAAAACGAAGAGUCUCCAAGCAUGUAAAUGGAAUUUGAGAGUCAUCCCCAUAGAACUCUGAACCCAAUCUCUUUACUCUACUCAUUCCACGCACUGUAAGAUGCUUUAGAGAGGGCAGUUGGCCGACUGACGGCAGGGCAGUACACAUGCCGCAAUCUUCAAAUUUAAGUGUUACUAAAUUUAAGAAUGAGGAAUCUCCUAACCAUGUUGGAAAUUUUGUACCUCCAUAGCCACAGAUACCAAAUUGUUCCAGAUUUUUAUGGGGUUUGAGCACGUCAAGCACACCCAUUUCAGUUUCUGCCUCCCUUGAAGAUGAACCAUCGGUGCUGCAAGUCCAAUUAAGCGAUAAUUCUCUAAGAUUCUUCUUUCCAUCCAACCGAGCCUCCUUUGCAUCACCAAUGUCUUUUACAUUCUCUAAUUUUGAAAUUUUAAGUGUCCCCUGAAGAUGUAUCAAUGACUUUAGCUCUCGUAACCCAGAACCAUUGUCUUUUCCCACAGCGAAAUUACCCAGCAUUUGAAGACAAGUCAGCUUACCAAUUCCUAGUGGCAUUUCCUCCAAGGAAUCUGUAUUUGAAUUAUUGAGAUGAUGCAAUUUGAUGAGAUUUCCCAUGUCUGCACACAACUUCUUCAGUCGUCGACAGCCCUCCAAAAGAAGGGUGUGCAAGUUGUAAAGCUUGCUGACUGAUUCAGGCAGAGUUUUAAUUUCAGUUCCAGACAGGUUAAGGUGCCUUAAAUACCUCAAAUCACCAACUGAAUCCGGCAGCUCGGCUAUGCAAUAUCCACGCAGAGAGAAGACCCUUAAGCUUUGGAGUUUGAACAACUUAGGAAGAAUGCUAUGAGCCAAGUAUCCAUGCCGACUAUUUAACAUCACUGGUAAAAAAUUUCUCAAAUGUUGGAUAUCAUACAAUUUCUCAAACCUUUGAACGCCAUCAUAAUCUCCACGAAUGUACGACAGAUGACGAAGAUUUCUAGAAAAACUUUGUUGCUUGUUAACCUCCGAGGUAUACUCCAGUGUGAAGUAUGUCUCCCCUGCAGCCCAACGGGCAAGGUCGUUGAUAAGAUCGUGCAUAACAAAUCGUGACAUACUGUUGCUCGAUUGCUGGAAAAAAGAUCUUCCACGUAGCUCUUGAAAGAACUUUCGACCAAGAUCUUCACUAGGAUUCCCACUCUCUCCGUGAUUCAAGAAACCCACAGCACUCCAUAAUAAAAUUAUCUCCCCCUCUUCAAAUUCAUAAUCCUUUGGAAACAAUGAGCAAUACGCAAAGCAUUGUUUCAAAGGUGCCGAAAGAUAAUAGUAGCUCACUCUAAGCGCCGGCAUAAUGUCACAUCUCUCUUCUUGCAAUUCCCAUAUCUUGGUACUGAGCACUCUCUCCCAAUCACAUCUGUCAUCUUUUCCUCGCAAAAGUCCUCCAAGUGUUUGCGCUGCCAAGGGCAAGCCAUCGCAUUUGGCCACUAUCUUCUUGCCAAUUUCCUCCAAUAACUUAUCUGACCCCAAAGAGUGUUGAGCGAACACAGACAGACAAUCAUCGUUUGACAACUUUUUCAAUUCAUAAGCCGGAGCAGUCCCCAUGAUGGCUGCAACCCCUUGAUUACGAGCUGUGACAAUAAUCUUACUUCCCGGUGCGCCAGCUUCAAAUGGACGCCUGAGUCGAUCCCAAUCAUUGUAAUUCUCAUUCCAAACGUCAUCUAAAACAAGCAAAAAUUUAUUUUGAGAUAAUUUCUUCUUCAGCUCCUCUUGAAGCUUAUUCAAGUCGUGAUUAUCCACAUUCUGGUCACUAGCAAUUGAAAGUAGGAUUGAUUUUGUAAGCCUGAUAACAUCAAAAUCAUCAGAGACGCAAGUCCAUGCCUUGAGAUCAAAAUGAUCCUGCACUUGCUUAUCAUUGUAGACAAGCUGAGCGAGAGUGGUUUUGCCCAGCCCGCCCAUACCAAUGAUAGGAAUAACGGAGAAUUCACCAUCAUUUCUCAAAUCAUCCCUCAACAACAAUACAACAAUUUCCUUCUUUUCUGUUUCCCUCCCAUAUACCUUGGCUUCAUUCACCAAAGAGGUUGUGGGUAGUCUUUGCCUAUCUUUUUUGGACCUUCCAACUGAACUUACGUUCAAACCCAGCGAGUCUUUCUGUGUUACAAUAUCUUGAAAUCUGUCGUUGAUCUCUUUGAUUUUGGACAUUAUGGCGUAAUCGAACUGAAUCGAUUGUGGAGUAAAAGUGGUGCAGCAAGUAGGAAUGAGCUUCCGAAACUUACUUGUUCUUGUACGACUGCUACUGGGUUGAUCAAGAGCAGCAGCUGGAUCUCGAUUUCCAAGCAGCAACUUCCUCCGGAAAGCCUCAGUUUGAAACUCAUCCAGCAAGUCUUCAACAUCAAAAGCCAAGUUCUGAAGCUCGCCAAGCCACAACUUCACAGACUGAUCAGUCUUCUUCUCCUCAGCAUCAGCAAGCACCGCCUUGAUCAUCACCAACAUAUUCUUCCACUUCUUUAGGUCGGCUUGGAUUUGCUCUUGGCGUGCAAACAGCCGAAUCCCCUCUGAAGCUAACUUAUUGACCAGCAAAUCAAUGGACGCCGUAAGGAUUGCCUCUCCGAUGAAUGACAUUUUUUGUUCUUUUGCUUUUUUUUUUUUUGGUUUUGCAAAGAAAGAAAGGAGCAGAAUUAUGGGUUAUGGAAAGCAGAAUGAGAAAAUGGAACAGGUGAGAAAAUGGAUAAUUAAGCAGAAUGAGUGUGUGAUUGUGAAGGGUCUGGCCCAGCAAGCUUAGUAGAAAUCACGCGUUGAUACUUUAUUGACCAAUGACUAAUAAUUUGGCAAUUCACUCAUCACCACCACUUGGUAAGCAAAAUGAAAAUGCUUAGUAAUUAAGUGUCAAGGGUCAAGCAAAUACGGCGUUAAUCCAGUGUCUAUUUCCUAGAACCUUCAUCUCAUAAACCAAGUUCAAUCAAAACGUUCCUCUCUCGCUAUUUUUUUUUUAAAAAAAAAAAACUCCUAAAACGUUUCUUUUUAGAAAUAUUUUACUUUAUUCAUCUAAUAUGUUAUCUAACAAAUACACACAAUUGAAAUCACUCUAAAGUGAAGAUGAAAGGGGAAAAAAAUUACCUUCCAACCACCAGUAAUCUAGCAAGCUUCACUUUAUUCCACCAAAGUGUAAAUAAAGCCAGCCCCCACCGGCAUCAAUAAUUUUGCAAGCUUCACAGGCUUGUUGUCUUCUCCUUGACGAACUGGACAUGAGUGCACCAAGAAUCAAUGACAGAAUUUUAAAAAUAAUAAUAAGAGAAAAACCUACAUAUUUUCGACUUAGAGUAGAACCUUAAUUAAUGCUAAAAUCUACUCAGCUAAUUUUCAAAACCGUGAUUAGGGUUCAUCUCAAAUGUUUGAAGAGAGUCUAUCAGUUCUUCUACGUUAAGAAUAUCAAAAUUCUUGCUUUUUCUUCAAACAUUGAAGAAUGAAAACAAAAAGUUGAAUAUGGAAGAAAAGAGAAUGCAUCCAUCUUCGCUGUAGAAGUCUUCUACUUAUAAAAGCAAGUUAGAAUAAACUAUUUUAAUCUCUCUUUUUAUUCUUGUAAGUGCACUACAUUUUUUUUUUUAAUCUCAAUGCGAAAUCAUAUCAUAAUGUUAUAUUCAUGUUGUAAAACGAAAUUUUAGAUAAAACAAAUUCGACUCAUUUUUUAAAGGUAUAUAUUUAAUAGGUUACUAACAUAACUAACAAAACGUGAUUAUUACACUAAGGACAUGUUUGGUUACUGUAUUAUAACCCCUCAUUGCAUUAGUUUUAUACAAGCCUAUGUUUGGUGAAUUAAAAACUACAGAAACACUGCAUUAUGGGCCUAGCUAAUGCGGCAAACUGCCGCUUGCUGUUUCCUUUUUUUUUUUUUGCCUUUUCAUUUCCAACUUUUCAGUUUUUGCUAACUUUUGUUUUUACUUUAAUUUUUUUUUUCUUUUCGUUUCCAACUUUUCAGAUUUUACUAACUUUUGCUUUUACUUUAAUUUUAUUAUAAUAAUAAUAAUAAUAAUAAUAAUAAUAAUAAAUAUUUUUAAUUUAAUAUUAUAUUAUUUAAUAUUUUUAUUUUUACAUUUUAAUUUAUUAAUAAAUUUACAAUUUAUUAUGACUAAUAAUAAAUAUUUAAAUAUGAAUAAUAUUAAUUUAAAAUUAAUAAUAAUAUAAAAUAUUAAUAUAAUUUAAAUAUAUUAAUAUAAUAUAAUAUAAUAUUUAAUUUAAAUUAAUCAAAAAAAUUAUUACAGUACAGUGUAGUACCAAACAUUGUACAGUAUUAUUAUAAUAUAAUACUAAUAUAAUACAGCAUAAUAUAAUACAACAACAUUAAAGUAAUGCAAUACAACAUAAUACAAUACGUGUACCAAACACACCCUAAAUGAAAUAAAAGACAGUACUAUCACCAAUAAUUUAGCCAGUUUCGCAUGCACGUGUUUCUAAAAACAUUAUAUGGAAUCAAACAACAGUGAUACAAAGAGAAAAGUGGAAAUCCUCUGAUUGUAUUUUUUUUUUUUUUUCAAAAGAAAUGGUGGGGUUGGUUUGUUUGCAAAGUUAUUAGCGUGGGUCUAUUUGUUUUUGUUUUAACUUUUUUUUUUAAACCAUUCAGUUUCUGGCGACCGCAUUGAAUCCUGACUAAUUCGAAUUCGAAGUGUAAUCACAGUUAAGACUCAUUACCCCUCCCAAAUGGUGUGUUUAAUGGGGAUCGAAACCGAGAGCCCUUCUCACAAAUCCAACCAGCGUUGCCAACGGAGCCACAACCAUUUGGUUUGUUUUAACUUUAUUAUUCGAUAAGCAAACGUGUAAUGAUUUGUAAAUAUCACUAGCAUCACAUUAUUGGGAGGUAUUGGGCUUAGUAUUCACAAUUUUUGUAAGAUGAAUUUGUAAGACUAAUUAAUUUUGAUGAAAAUGUAUCGUUAUUAAGAUAUUAUUUAAUUCAUUAAGUUAACUUGAGGUAUUAAUAUUCACUAAUUGUGGUGCUGAUUAAUUUACUUAACUUGUCACUAUUUGCAAUUAUGAAUGAAGUUCAAUCAAUUUAUUGAGAAAAAAAAAAAACAAAGAUACCUUUUUUCUUUUGAUUUUAAUUCUUAGGAUUUGAUUUCACACUCUUUCGUUUUUUUACGUUGCUAAAGAGGCAGUAAAAAGCUUGCUGAAUGUCAUCAAAUUGGCAAUAUUUGUUUGGUAUUUCAUCUCAACGGAUGCAGUAAGAAUUGCCUCUCUGAUGACUGAAAUUUUUUUUUCUUUUUUUGGGCAAAGAAAGAAACAGAAUUUUGAGUUUUGAAAAGCAAAAGGAGAAAAUUGAACAGUAAGUGUGGAGGGUCAAGCAAAAUGCGCGUAACAAGCCUUCCGCUUGUUGUUUAUUCCAGUAAAGCGAUAAUAAAAUCAGAGCCCGCCACCCAUUAAUAAUUUAGCAAUUCACCAGUCACCAGUCACCAGUCACCAGUCACCAUGAAUAUAUUAAAUUGCACCUUGUAUUUGCGGGAUCCAGCAACAUUGACCCAGUGUCCGGGUAAAUACUGAAUAAAGAGGAAAAUGGAAUGUAUCCACUACGAACCUUCGCUUUGCAAGUCUUCAAACUCAUAAACCAAGAUAAAUCAAAACGUUUAUCUCUUCUAUCUCUUUUUGCCAUAUAAUUACUUUAUUUAUUGAAUUAAUUUCCAUGCUAAAAGGAAGACUUAAAACUGCACUACAAUUUUUUAUAAUCACAAUGAUAAUUCCUACUACCAUGUUAUUUUAAUAUCGUGUCAAAAUAAAUUAUAACAAAAUUUUUUUUAUAUGAACACUCUUUUUAUUUAUAAAUUUCUCGAUUUUUAAUAUUUUUUUCACUCUUUUAGUCUUAAUAUUUGUAUUUCUCUCUUCAAACUUUCUUUAUUAUUUAAUUUUUAAAUAAAAAUAUGAAAAAAAUAAAAAAAAUAUUAUAUUUAAAAAAUAAUAAAUAUUUUAUCGGUCUAAUCCAUUGACAAUGAAAGAGCACGCGAAAAAUCUCACGCAUAGAAAACUUUGUGAAAGGCAUUUGAAUGUGUUGCCACAUUUUCCAAACGAAACGAUAAGGCUUUAGCCUUAUAAUUGCAAUUAGUUUGUCUUGUAACGAAAUUAUUGCCGACAAACACCAUCAUGCUGACAAGCCGUGCAUGCACGUCCUCAAUCACCCAUGUCCUCUACUUGUCUUUUGGUGUUUACGGUGUAGUUAGGGAUGGUAGCGGGUAGGGUCUGGUACGGGUUUGACAUCACCAAACCCGCAUCUACAAAAAAUUUUAAUUACGUAAUUCAAAUUAUAAAUUUAUAACCGUUGCCUAAAAAAGCCACAUAAAAUACUUAAUUCUACAUUUUAUCAAUAUAAAUGAGAAAUGAAAAUAUCAACAUUAAAACAAAUACACAAAAUAUAUCAAUUUAACACCAAUUCUAAAAUUCAAUUACCAAAUAAAUAAGUCUAUCACAACUCGAAGUGCUUUUAAUUUAAAAUGAAAAAAGAGAAAGAGAAAAAACAAAGAGCUACAAAUCAAAGUAGCACCCAGACCUAUUUCAUAGGCUCAUUCGACACUAAGAUCUUAGAAUUAAGAUCUUCAAUUCAUUCAUUACCACUAGCACCCAUUCAACGUGGUUUUUCUAAGCAAAAUAUAAAGUACAAAAUUACAAUAAGCAUAUGAUACUCCAUGCUUUAAGUUAAAGGUCCUUAUAUAAUUUUAUGAAUAAUGAUUUAGUGAAAUUUUAUGAUUAAAGUUAAAAAUACACAAAUAUUAAAAUAAGAAUGUUGGACACUUGCACAACUAUUUGCCAAAUUUUUUCUCUAUAAAAAUUCACUUGCAACUUGCAGCAGGUUUAAAUUUAUAAUAUCAAACUUGAUUGUAGCUCGCAAAAUUUUUAGAUUUGCGAUAAUUUUGCCACCCUAAGUUUAGUUAGUAUUGUAUAUCGUGUGUUUCCAAUUGGCUCUUAUAAAAAGCCUAGAAGUUGUAUGAAUAAUGAGGGAGACAAAUAUUUCCCAAAGAUAUUAUCUUUUUCAAAUUUUUUUCUUUUCUCUAUUAUUGUAACUUCAAAUCCUUAAAAAAUUACAUAUUACAGACAUGAACACAAUGUUUUGACAUAGUGGCUUUUGGCUUGUCUAGAGAAAUUUAGGAUAGAUUUUGAUGUACUAAGGCUCUGUUUACUAUUAAGAUUUUGGAACUUUUGAGCCACACUUGAAAUUUGUUUAAUUCUAAUAGAGUUGUAGCCUUCGAUAUGUGAUUGGUAUUAAUCAAGUGUUAUGUUUACAACAGUUAAAGGCAUAUUGAAUCAAAGUCCACUUUUGAUUGAGAUUUUAAAGUAGGUUUUUAACUUGAUAGCCACUCAAGUUCAAAUAUUGGAACCACAGUGCACCUUUCACUUACUAGGCUUUAACCAAACAGACGACGUUAUACAAACUUCUAUCCAAUAAGGCAAUGCAAACAAAAGCAAGUGAAUUAAAAAUAAAUAAUUUCUCAUUAAUUUGCAACAAGUAUUAAUAAAGUGCAUGAGAAAAUAUGUCUUUUUUUAAAUGAAAAUAAAUGUGUUAAUUAGUCAAUUUAAAUGGUACGAUAUUUUGAAAUGAUAGAAGCGAUCUGGAGUUUAAAUCUUACUCUUGACGUAAUAUUUAAUAACGAAUUUGAAGAACAAUUAAAAAUUAAAAGAAAAGAAAAAAACACUUUCUUUCUUAAUGAUGGUAAUUUGUUCAGAUGAUGAAAAUUCUUAGAGUGGUAUAAUAAGUAUUUUUGAGUGUUGCCAUCGCCAAUAAUAUUUAAUUUCCUUUAUAUAGUUAUAUCUCAAGUAACAUUUAAAUAGAAGCAAGUUGGAAAUUAAAAAAAAAUGAACCAUUGAGAGAAUGAAAAACAAACAAAAAAAAAGUUAAAAAAUUGUAUCUCAAUAAAUUUACUUGAGGGCUACUCUACUGAUCUGUGAAGAGAAAACACAAAGAAUAAUGAUGUAUCUCAAUUAAUAGGACAAUUUUUGUAUUUUUCGUUUAUUCAAGAAUCACGAAACUUCAUUUAAACUUGUUAUUUCAUUGAUAAUAUAUUAACAUUGAACAAUGUAGGGGACAUUCCUUUCCAAUUAUGCCCAUAUAUUAACUAAAGGCCACCAAAAAGUUCAGGGAUACUAUAGUAAUUUAAGUCAACAAUUACUAUGCUUGAAAUCAGCCAAUCAAACUCACUUUAGAAUAAACUGAGAAAUCAAAAUCACAUUCUCCAAUUCUACGAUUUCAAUUCAUCUUCUUUCUUCAACUGAAGAAUUGGUUGUAUCUCGUUUAGAUAAAUAUAAAAUAUAAAUGAUGAGGAGACUAGAAAAGUAAAAUCAAAAGAAGAGCACGAGUUUUGUUGAAAAUGACUCUUUUUCAUCAUUGUGCCGGAGUGAAUGUAUCUACAUAUAAACUAAAGAAGCACAUUUGUUUGUAUUAGCUUUUUUAUUGUAUUUUUAAUAAUAAGUCAUUUUUCAAUGAACUUAUAUCAAUUUUUAUGAAAAUAAUAUGUGUUAGUUAGUUGAUUCAAAUGGCAAAACCUCUUGGGAUAGAGCUUGUAAUUUAUUGGCUCAUGAAUUGUCUAAAUUGACACUACCGAAGCCAAAUUAUUGUAUUUGGUUAAAAAAGCUCCUGCUCAGCUUCAACUUUAUUAUUCUAUGAUGUUUGUUAAUAAAUAACAAUUUUAUUGAAAAAAAAAGACCCCUUGAACUUAUACAAAAGAUUUGGGAUCUGAAUCUGACUUGAAUUUAGCUUGAGGUUGACAUUGUUAGCAUAAUAAUUGAAGAUAGAUUUUUUUAAAUUAAAAAUCAAAAGAUAUAUAUAUUUUUUUGGUUCACACUAGUUAGUUUUAACUCAUAGUGAGAUUUAAACAGAAGCAAAAUAAUAAAUCUUAACAUCCUGACUCAUGGAUAACAUUUACAUAAGAUAGUAAAAUCUAUUAUGUCCAAAAUAAGAGGUGUGAAGUUUGAAUUUUGCUCACAUAGGUAGUAAGAGAAUCAAAUUAUUGUUAGAUUAAAUUAAUUAAAAAAAUUAUCUGAUAUCCAAAACAGCGUAUCAACAAAAUUGAAAUAAAAGAAAAUUGAAGAGAAAAACCAUUGAGAGAACGAAAAAUUAACACAAGAUAAAUUCGAUAACUAAUUGUAUCAGUGUGCGCUAACUUCACUUAUUAAAACUUGGUUAUUUCAUUUUCAUUGAUAAUCAUUUUGACAACGAUUUUUCUUUCCAAGUAUGCCCAUGAACUAAUAAGAGAACUGCCGAAAGGGUUCGGGGAUAAUAUGGUAAUUUAAAUUAACAUUUCCUGUGCUUCAAAUCAUCAAAUCAAACUCACACUUCACAACAACAGAGAAAUCAAACUCACGGUUUCUCUCAUUUUUAAUUUAUUAUAUAAAGAUAAAUAUAUAAAAUUAAAUGGCGAGAAGACCGGACGAGGAAUACGAUUACUUGUUCAAAGUGGUAUUAAUCUAAAAACAAUAAUAUUAAAUAAAACACCUGGGAGUCGUAAUGGAAAGAAGAAUACAAUAUAUGAAACUUAUAAUGUUAUUUUUACUAUAUUAUAUUGAUACUUUGUUUUGUUAAUCAUAUAAGUCAAUCAGUAAUUAUUUAAUCAUUGGAAUUAAAACUAAUGUAUUAAUUAAAAUUCAAAAUCUAUUAUAAAAAUAGUAAAUAUUAAUAUAAAGAGAUGGACCUAUUACAAAAUACAUUCACCAAAAGUUCUAUUAUACUUAAAAUUCUCAUUCACAAAAAAAAAAAAAAAAAUAGUUGAAUACAUGUACAAAAAAAGGGGAUAAAUAAAAAAUAAUAAUAAUAAAUAAUAAAAGGAUAGUUUAUAUAAUAAAAAAUAAAUUUAUUGAAUAGAGAUGUUAAUAAUAAAGAAUAAUAGCCUAAUCAAACUCACUUUAGAAUAAACUGAGAAAUCAAAAUCACAUUCUUCGAUUCUACAAUUGAAUCUUUUUCAUCAUUUUGUUGGAGUGAAUGUAUCUACAUAUAUUGGGGACCAUAAUGGAAACCGGUAGAACCUACAAGGGCUAAAAUCAAAACAACGAACGAUAUCUCAAGGUCGCCGAAACGUAAAUAAUUAAUCUUAUCUUUCAAUUGAUUUUUGUGGAGCCAGAGACAAUUAAACCCGAACAGCAAAUAGCCAUAAAUGAUAGGACAAUUAAAUUGGAACUCUUCACAGACCCACGAUUUAAUAUCUUUAGAUUGUAACGGUUUAACCCAAAAAAAAAAUAGUAAAAUAUUUCUUAAAAAAAUGAAAAAAAAAUGUUGAAAAGAAGAACAAAAUUCUGGUCCACGUGUCAUUUCAAAAUAGGUUGCUGGCAUAAACAACCGGCCCCAUCCCGGACAGAUGUUAUUUGAGUGGUUGGUACGCAUUUCCACUUUUUUGUUUUAGAUGCAACGACUCAUGCACUAAAUAUAUAUAUAUAUAGGGAAUCCCUAUCUUACAUGCAUGUAAAAUAUAUUUUUCUCAUAUAAAUAAUAUAUGUGUAGAAUUCACGUACUGUUUAUGUAAGAGAGAUGUAUCUUACAUACAUGUAAGAUAUGAGGAUUCAUGAAUAUAAUGUUAUUAGUUUAAAUAAUGGGUGCAACUCAUGUUUUUGAAACAUUAAGAUCUUUAGCCAUUCUCUUACUAUCCCGUGGUUAUUUAAGUUACAAGAGACAGUAAAACAACAACGUCAUAUUUUAAUUACUUACACUAAAUAAAUUACUCACACUGAUGCCGCGACUGCCGCUUGCUUUUUUUCUUUUUUUUGCCCUUUUAAUUUUGACUUUUGCUUUUACUUUUUGAUUUUUGCUUUUGGUUUAUAAUAAUAAUAACUACUUUUUAAUUUAAUAUAAUAUUAAAUAAUAUUUUUAUUUUUAAUUUUACAUUAUAAUUAUUAAUAUAUAAUUUAUUAUUUAAUAUUAUUAUAUUAUGUUUUUUAUUUUUACAUUAUAAUUUAUAAAUAAAUUUAUAAUUUAUUAUAACUAAUAAUAAAUAUUUAAAUUUGAAUAAAUUUGAAUAAUAUUAAUUUAAAAUUAAUAAUAAUAUAAAAUAUUAAUACAAUUUAAAUAUAAUAUAAUAUUUAAUUUGAAUUAAUCACAAAAAAUUAAUAUAAUACAGUGUAGCACCAAACAUUGUACAUUAUUAUUAUAAUACAGUACUAAUACAACGCAACAUAAUACAAUACACCAACAUUAAAAUAAUACAAUCUAAUAUAAUACAAUACAGUGUGCGAAAUGCACCGACAUGGUAUUACUUUGUUUGUCUUGUUACUUACAGUUAUUUAAUCUGUAGACCCACUCAUGCUCCUUCUAUGUAACAUAGAUACAAUUUGAGGAAGAUUAUCAAUUUUUUUAUUAAAAAUAAUAUAUACCACUUAUUUUUUAUUAUUUUUAUAAUGUUCAACAAUUCGCUUGAGAUCAAAAAAUUAAAUGAAAAGAAGGAGUAAAUAGAUGAUUUACUUGAUGUUGUAUCUUAGAAAUAUAAAAUAUAUUUAUUUAUUAUUAAAAAUAUUUAAAAAUAAUAAAGAGUAUAUAAAAAGUAUCUUAUCCUCAACAACAAGAUCAGACGACGUCAAUUCAGCAAAAUGACUUGAAUAACUUGAACGUCCAGCAACGGUCACCUCUUGGCGCACACAUGGCAACGUGCGUAGCUUUGGCAAGAGGUCUCCCAAAAGGACGAUUAAGAAAAGAUUGCAGGACAAAUCAUGAAAAUAGUAGUACAGAUAUGCAAUGGCUAAAUUUCCUCGAUUAAGUCCAUCGCAAUCAAGUCUUAGAAAUCACACCCCUGUAUUAAUUUCCAGAAAUAUGUUUGUUCCAUAUUUAUCGUGCACGUAUAUAUUGUAUGUAUUGGGAAUAGAAAGAGUGUAUGUAAAAAAUUCUUCAUUCAUCGAUUAAAACUUAAUUUAUGUACGAGGGUUAAGUGUAGUGUUUUUAAAUUUAAAAAGGACAAGUGUCAAUCCACUGAGGCUUGACUCAAUGGCUAGAGCCACACUCCCUCACAAAGUGGUUCGAUCUCCCACAGAUGUAUUAUAGAAGUUUAAUUUAAAUUUUUUUUCUCAAAUUUUGAGUGAAGACAGUCUUUCUCCCCUAAAUAGAGUUUUUCUAAAAAUUUAAUGUUCUUCGAAUAUUUGAGAUGAUUAAAAUUUGAGCGGUGCUAUAUAAAAUAUAAUGUAAACUAAUCUAAAUAAUUAUAUAAUUAUAAAUAUAAUGAACAAUAGUCUCAUACAAAAAAAUGACAAGUGUAGUAAGCCCAUUUAAAUUAACUUAUAUUUGAGGGGAAAAUCUCUGUAUAUCAUAGUAUAUAUUAUAUAUCCAGUCGUGGGACCCAUACAUGGUUCCAUGUAAUUCGCACAGUUGAACUGGAGACACUGAUUAGUUCGUUGUCUAUUUGCCAACUUAUGUACAACUAAGUAAUUUCAUGCACCAUUUGCGCCUUAUCUAUCCAUCCUGCUUGCAUUGCAUUUUACUAAACAUACAAUGAAAUUAACCCUUGUAAUUUCGGCCUUUGCCAUAGUCGUUUUGUUUAUUAGGUUUAUGUUUAUCAACAUGAUAUGUUGUCAACCAUAAUCACAAUCAAGUUGUUAAUUAUUUUUUAAAUAAUGUGAAGGAACAAGAUUUUGGUCUUUGACUGUGGAGUUAAAAAUAUCUCACCUCAACAUACGGUGUUGUGCUCUCAUCAUCUUAACAUUAUUUGUUAAAAAUUAUGUCAAAGAGGAAAGCAGAUUCAAACAUUACUUCAAUUUUCUUUAAGAGCAUAAAAAAAUCGUUAAUAGGCUACUGUUAUUUGUUAGUACGAUUUCACAGAAGGAGGCUAGAGGAAGAUGAAGCUUUCACGUCAUGUGUGCAUCAAAGUAAGAAACAGAGCUAACGAGAGAUGGACAAGUAUUAACCACUGUUAUCAGAAAUUAAAUAUAUCAGCAUUUUGUUAGUUCUGGCCAUAUUGGAACUAUUAGCACCCUAAUUUUCUUUUGAAGCUCCUUUUCUGUCGAAACCUAUUUUAAUUUCCAAAAUAUUUUUUUUUCAUUUUUUUAGUUUCUUUCUGAUAAAAAAAAAAUCAGUUUCUUAAACAACUCCAACUACAAAUAUUGUUUUACAAAUUUUUGAAUUAUUAAAUCAUAUGUGUGUGUAUAAAUUGAAUAGAAUUAAAAAAGUGGACUCAAAUGGGUAUUGUGUAAUUUUUUUUAUAAUUAAAGAAAAGUUUAGAAUGCAAAAGAGUGUGAGAAAACAAAAAAUAUAAAUCACCUUUGAUGUAGUUGUAUGGUUGUAAAGAGUUAGAUGGAGAAAUAUAGUAUAUAAUUAAAUUUAUUUUGUUCUUUAAAACGGAUAGGUUUUAUACGAAUUUUUCAGAGGAGUGCCAAUAUUUCAACUCUAUCAUUGCUAUUAGUUUGUCUUGUAAUUCAAUCAUUGCCGACAAGUAUUAAUUGUGACUAUUAUUAUUAUUAUCGUCGUUAUUCUUAACAGCAAUGACUAGAAUUAUAAUAAUAACAAUAACAAUAACAAUAACAAUAACAAUAACGUCAAUACAAUAAUAUGGGUCCGCCUAUGUUGCCACUUAUGUAUGUUGCUACAGCUUUUGUCUUUUGUGAUCAGUUAUUGUAACAUCUCAUUGAGUCCCUUACACUCUAUUUUAUUUACAAUUUAUUUAUAAGUAUUAUGAUUUUUUUAUUUACCUACACUUUUAAAAUUUAAAUUUUCACUUCACACUAUUUUUUAUUUACCAUUUUUUAUAAGUAUUAAAGGAGUUUUCGUUUUCAACCACAAAACAAUAAUCAUCAUAACACAUUAUUAUCAAUAAAAAAAAUAAAAUACCCUUAAAUUAGUACUAAAAGAAACUCUUUUCUCUCUUGGAGGAAUCACAAUAGCUCAUCUUCCAUCACUUAUCAUCAAUAAAAUUUUCAAGGAUAUAAUCAAUCAUCUUCUUUACUAUAUCAUCUCAUAAUAAUUAAGACUUUAAUGAUAAAAGAAUUAACAAAAUAAAAAAAAAUUUCCCGUGAAUCCAUCCCUCUCCACUAUCAAUUUCUCUUCAUCAGCAACUUUUAUCAACAAUUGAAGCCACUAUUAGAACUCACCACAAAGAGAGAGUAUGGGAGGGGAAGAAGAAACGGGUAAAAAUAUAUGAAAUGUUUUCAAUUUUAUGAUACGUUUACUAAAUAAGAAUCAUAAUUAGAUAGAAUCAUAGUAAGUUGAAAUUAAAAUGAGCAGGAAUCAAAAUAAGAAAUUGUAAUUAGAAUAAAUUAUUUAUUUGAACUAUAGAAAUAGUAAUUGGAAUAAGCUAUAUUACAAUUAAUGUAUUUACUUUGUUUUAAAAUCAUAAUCGAAAUAAGUUAAGUUGUAACAAACUACCAUAAAGUACUUAAUUAAUUAUUAUCAUAAUUAUUACUUUGUAUUUUAAUUAUUGUGAUUAUUAUUAUUAAAAAAUUUAAUAAUUAUUGCUAACUAUUAUUAUUAACAAUAUAACUCAAAAAUUAUUAGUUAUUGUUAAUAUAUUAAUUAAUUAUAAAACUUUUAUCAUUAAUAAUAAUAAUAAUAAUCCAUUUAAAUAAUAAUAUUAAUUAUUAAUUAUUGUUAAUAUAUUAAUUAAUUAUAAAACUUUCAUCGUUAAUAAUAAUAAUCUAUUUAAAUAAUAAUAAUUAUUAAUUAUUGUUAAUAUAUUAAUUAAUUAUAAGCUUUUAUCGUUAAUAGUAAUAAUAAUAAUAAUCCAUUUAAGAAAAUAACAAUAAUAAUAAAAAAAUUGUCAUCAUCAUCAACGGCAACAAAAAAUGGGAAUCGGUGGCGGCAUCAUCAUCCACAACGUCGGCAUCAUCAUCAUCAUCUUGAAGACGGUCGGUAAAGACGAAGACGACGACGAGAAGGAGAGGUGGAGAUUUGCUCUUUGAAGAUGGUGAUGAGGUCGUUACCUGCAGGGGACUAAAUCAUGGACGGUGAAGACCAAUGACAACCAGCGAGCUAGAACCGAUCCUAGUGCUGUGCUUCUUCUUGGAUGCAACUAAAAAAUUCUUCCUCUUGGCUGCGAUGGAGGGUCGAAACGUUGGAUGUGUUUGUUAUUUUUUUAAUUUUGCUGGCUGUGUUUUCUAAUUAACUGUGGCGUAUUUUGAGAAUUUAAAAAGCUUGAAGGAGUAAAUUUGGUACUUUUAGGGGCUCAAUCAAAUAAAAUAGAGUGCAAAGGGUUCCAUGAAAUUUUAGAAUAAUUAAGUCACAAAAGACAAAAGCUGUUGUAACGUACAACAGUGGCAACAUAGGCGGACCCCAAUAAUAUAACAACAUAAUAAUAUUUUAAUUGGGGUCUUCCACCUGGGUAUGCAUGAUUCCUUGUGACAUGUGCCAAUUAAAUUCUGACAUACGUGCAAUAAAGACUGUAAAGUGACCGGUUAUUCCGAUUGAAUUCACAAGAGCUCUUGUUUGUGUGUUUGUGUUCCAAGUUGUGUACUCUGUGUUACGAGUUCUCUAAUUAAUCUGAUAUUAUCGCAACUGUUGCUCAAUAAUGUUACAUGCAUUAUAAUAUAUGUCACUGGUACGGUCGCUGUCUCAAGUGGUAAACAUUAAGGCACAAAUUUAGAAUGAAAAGUUUCCCAGUAAAAUAAGUUAUUUAAUUAAUUAAAUAAGAAUAAAAUGAAUUUGUGAAAGAAAUUUAAAUUUAAUUUUGAAUUAUUUUGACCAAAAUUUAAGUUUCUUUUUAAUUUGUUUAAGAAAGUGCGUUGUAAUUAUCUUGUUUUAAUUGGAAAAUCAAUGAAAAAAUUAUGUAACAGGAAACAAAAAAAAAAAAAACAAAACAAAACGGUUUGUUUUGGAUGGAGGCCAUAGAUUCCAAUAUUUCCUUCACGAAAACUACAAAAAAUUAUCAAAGGCAUCAAUUUCUACACUCUCACCGAGCAAAUACUCUCAACCCAGAAGAAAGUGUAUAAACCAACCCCAAUUAGUCCAUCAAUGUCGUCAACCUCAUACAACACAAAAAAAUAUGUGUCCAUUAAACCGCCAUCUUGCCAUCUCGUUGUAGUAUUUUGCUGUUCAAAUCUAGUUAUUAAUUGGGGAAAAUGGGGACCAAUCUGCAAGUCUUUAAAAUAGAAAGAAACUUUAAUUGAGCACUAUGUUCACAGUGGUGGACCCAGCGGCAGUAAUCUUUAAGGUGGAGCUAUUUAUACUUUAAAAAUUAUUUUAAACACUCUAAUUUUAAUAAGAAUAUGUAUUGCAAAAAUACUUAUCAUAUAAGUUACUGUUAAGGACAAUAUAUUAUAAGUCAACAUUAUAUAAUUACUUUGAACACUUAUAUAGCACAAUCCUUAUUCAAUUUAUUAUUCUCAUGACUUAAAUAUAAAAAAUUUUAUUUUCAACAUCUUAAUUAAUAUGUAGGUGAAUAAUAAGGAAAUUAACUUUGAGAAAAAAAAUUAAAUACAAAAUAUGUGUAAUACUUUUAAAAAAUAAAAUAAAACAACAGUAUUGCACAAGAUUUUUUUUUGGGGGGGGGGGGGGGGGCUUUGGCCAUUCUUCUUCUUCUCCUUCUCUCUCUCUCUUUUUUUUGGGUAGUAUUUAUGGAACAUUUUCUAUAGUUAUGUUCUCAUCGCAAGUUAUUUUGGGUGCAAAAUUCAAUAUUGAAAAUAAAUUAAAUAAAAAAUUAGUAACUAAAAUUAUGUUAAAUUAUUUUUUUACAACUUAAUUUUUAAUUAUAUUAUUGUGAGUAUAUGCUAAAUCUCUUAAAAAUAGAGUGUUGAAUAAUUUUAUUAGUUUUUUAAAUAAAUAAAGCUAAGUAACUUAAAAAGUUUAAGUAAGGAUAUUUUUGAAUUUUAAACAGUGUACAAAGUAAAAUUUAAUUUUUUUUAUAAUUAAGCUACGAGCGUGUAAAUUAAUAGAGUGCUCAAAAUAAUAUUUAGAGUGCUAAUAGUCAUAUCCUAAUAUUUAUCAUCACAUUAUUUUCCAUAAAAAGUUUACAACUACCUCUUUAUUGGAUAAUUUUGUUCCCUCUCUUACCUUAUGUUCCCCUACAUUCUCAUUUCUGCAUCACUAUUUAAAUUGUAAUCAUAACGUUAAUCUUUCGUGUCCUUUCGUUUUUUUCGAGUUUACUUUUGCUUUUUUUUUUUUUUACGUUUCUCCGGAAUUCACUUCAACAUCACUGGCGCGUUUUCUUCUUUCUCACUGCAACAUCAACUGGGCCACCACCUCUUGCCUCAAUAUACGUUGUGAUCUCAUCAUCUUGACAUUAUUUGUUAAAAAUUAUGUCAAAGAGGGAAAGCAUAUUCAAACAUUACUUCAAUUUUCUUUAAGAGCAUAAAAAAAUCGUUAAUAGGCUACUGUUAUUUGUUAGUACGAUUUCACAAAAGGAAGCUAGAGGAAGAUGAAGCUUUCAAGUCAUGUGUGCAUCAAAGUAAGAAACAGAGCUAAUGGGAAAUUUUCAUAAGAGUGCCAAUAUUUCAACUCUUUUUCAAAUGAAGUGAUGUCCUGGAAUAAAGGACUUGACUAGCUUACAGAUUCUGUAAGCUACAGACUGCAGCAUCAGCCGUUGGAUGUGGAGUGAGAAACUAAACAAUAGAAAAUCGGAUGGUGGGAUGACGGGAGAUGUUUGUUACAGAAUCUGUACCAUAGACAGGUCCUGGAAUAAAAUCACUACUCUAUCAUUGCUAUUAGUUUGUCUUGUAAUUCAAUCAUUGCCGACAAGUAUUAAUUGUGAAUAUUAUUAUUUUAAAAAUAUUAUUAUUAUUAUCGUCGUUAUUCUUAACAGCAAUGACUAGAAUUAUAAUAAUAACAAUAACGUUAAUACAAUAAUAUUACAACAUAAUAAUAUUUUAAUUGAGAGGAUAAGAAUGAAAUUAUGAAAUUUAGGUUGGGUAAAAAUGGUGAGUAUGAGGAAAUUAAUUUACCAUUUUUUAAGCUAAACAAUUUAUAAAUUCCACAUAUUUCAUUUUUAUUUCUCUUAUAUUUUAACAAAUAAACACUAUCAAUCGUUUUAAUAUUUUAAUUAAUAAACACGGCAUUAACUACGGAACUAAAAGAUCCCCCCAAAAAAAAAAAAACAGAGACGCGUGUAUGUAUUGCUUGUGACAAAUCUCACCCAUGGAAAACUUUGUGAAAGGCAUUUGAAUGUGUGGCCACAUUUAAUGAACGAAACGUUAACUUUAAAAGAAAGUAUGUACUGUGUUAAUUAUUAGGAUUACCCAAUAACCCGCUUAAUAUCUAUAUAUUAAACAAAAGUUACAUUAAAUAUUUAUACUUUGUCAUACAUAUGUAUGCACAUACAUACAUACAUACAUACAUACAUCCAAACAUACAUACAUAAUUUAUCAAUAUUAUAAAAUAUACAUAUCUACUAAAAUAUUACACACACUAUUGAGGUUUUAAUUAUAUGUAUGUAAAUAAUAUUAUAUAUCAAUAUUAUAAAAUAUACAUGUCUACCAAUAUUUUAUACAUUUACGCUAUUAAAGCUCUAAAUGUAUUUAAAAUUUUAUAAAUAAAAUAUUGUGUCUAUAUUCAUCUUUUUAAAGAAUUAAAAAAAUCAUCUCUAAUAUUUGAGUUUUGAUGACAAGAAUCUGUAAAUUAUUUUAAAAUAGAAAAUAUAAUCGGGUCAUUGAUCGGGUAAAUGGGUCAAGAAUUUUAACCCUAAUCCGACACGAAAAAAAAUCGUGUUGACCCGGACCCGACCCAUUUAAUAAUCGUGUUAAAUUCGAUGACCCAUACUUAUUUAUUGGUGUCAUGUUCGUAUCGAGUAAUCGGAUCGUGUCAAAUUUUACCAGCUCUAACUAUAGUGAUUCCACUUAAAAAUGAAAGGGGAGGCGACGAAAAGGUGAUAAAAAGCGGUAUUGUGUUCUUUUUUUUUUUAAUAUAAAUUUACUGGAAUGAUGAAAUAUUUAAUUGAAUAAUAUUAAAAAAGAGAAAAGGAGAGAGAAUUUUGAGCUCUCUCUACCGAGCCCACUCCCUCUCUUCUUUUUCAACGCAUUUUCUCUCGUCUUUAUCUCUCUUUAGCAUUUUUCUAUUUAAUUACGUGAAAUUGACUCUAAGAUAGACCGACGUUUGCUUUCAUAAUGGAAAGUAGAAAGUCGAAAAGAAACCACCCAUGCCAUGCGUGUGGACCAUUACUCUCAUUUGGAGGCUAUCAUAAGUGAGCAAGUACAAAUUAUGUUACUGUGGGGUCUCACUUAAAUGAACUCAUCCAUCGUGCGCUGGUCCAAUCCUUGGCAACAUCCCAUGUGACUUUUUCGGUUUUCCCCCCACUUUUCUUCACAAGGGUAGUUCCGAAUUUUCACUUCCCCUCAAUUCCAAUUCAGUGGCGAAAUUAGAUUUUCAUUUCAAGUUUUCAACCCAGGGCCAAGCUAUAAUAAUAUACUUCAAUAAUUUGUAUUCGUCGGAAGUUCGGAACCAAUGCUAAACUUUUUUAGUUAUAUAUAUAUAUAUAUAUAUAUUGUAAGAGGCUAAUAUGAACAUUACUAUUGUUAUAAGAGUAUAGAAAACGACGAAUAUUACUUAUUUUUUUUGUAGUUAAUAAGAAUUAUUUAAAAUUAUCCAAGCUCAAAAUUUAGAAUCAUGAGAGUGUGACUUGUAAGUUUCAAAGAAGCAUGUGUAAAUAUAUGCAUUAUCGAUGCCCAAUUAAGGGUGGGCAUUAAGAUCGGGUUAACCCGAACCGAACUUAAAAUUUAUUUUGGAUUCAAUUUGGUUAUGGUUGAAGCUUUCAACUGAGUUCAAAACUUAAAAAUGAUUGGGUUGUAUUUCUGUUCGAAUUUAACCCCAAAAGACUAAUCAAUCCAAUCGAGUUAAGUAAGCAAAUUAAGAAAAAAAAUCCCAAAAAUUAAAACUAACCCUAACUAAAAUAUUCGACGGCGGCCUCCUCGUUUUCUUUUCUUCUUCCUCCUCUCGCUCACCCCUAAUGCCCUUCAUGGAAAUCCAACAGCUCCAAACGCGUUUCAGCCGCUCGCACGUGUGAGAAAUUUUCCUUCUCAUAGGGUUAUUCGUUUCCUUCGUUUGCAUGCUAGCAGAAAAUUCAGGCCGAGGAUUUUUCCGGGCCUAGCCCAACUAUAAGCUCUCCCAAAACCCAAUCAUAAGUUCAAAACGUUUAGCGUUUGCUAUUACUAUAAUUUUUUUAACCAAUUUUCACAUUCAUCAACAUAGGCUGACAGAUUUUGUAGAAAAUAAAAUUAAAUAAAAAUACAAGCUCGCGAAAUUCCUUUGCCGAGCAUGAGUGAAGAAAAAUUAAAAAUAAAUAAUUUCCCAUUAAUUUGCAACAAGUAGUAAUAAAGUAAAUAACUCUUUUCAUCAUUUUGCCAGAGCGAAUGUAUCUACAUAUAAACUAAAGAAGCACAUUUGUUUGUAUUAGCUUUUUUAUUGUAUUUUUAAUAAUAAGUCAUUUGUCAAUGGACUUAUAUCAAUUUUUACGAAAAUAAUAGGUGUUAGUUAGAUUAUUCAAAUGGCAAAACCUCUUGGGAUAGAGCUUGUAAUGUAGUGGCUCAUGAAUUGUCUAAAUUGACACUACCGAAUUAUUGUAUUUGGUUAAAAAAGCUCCUACUCUGCUUCAACUUUAGUAUCCUAUGAUGUUUAUUAAUAAAUAACAAUUUUAUUGAAAAAAAGACCUCUUGAAAUGAUACAAAAGAUUUGGGAUAUGAAUCUCACUCGAAUUUAGCUUGAGGUUGGCAUUGUUAGCAUAAUAUUUGAAGAUAGAUUUUUUUUAAAUUAAAAAUCAAAAGAUUUUUUUUUUUUUGGGGUUCAUACUAGUUAGUUUUAACUCAUAGUGAGAUUUAAACAAAAACGGAAUAAUAAAUCUUGAUAUCCUGACUCAUGGAUAACGUAUAGAUAAGAUAGUAAAAUUUAUUGUGUCGAAAAUAAGAGGUCUGAAGUUUGAAUUUCGCUCACAUAGGUAGUAAGAGAAUCAAAUUAUUGAUAGAUUAAAUUAAUUAAAAAAAUUUCUGAUAUCCAAAACAACAUAUCAACAAAAUUGAAAUAAAAGAAAAUUGAAGAGAAAAACCAUUGAGAGAACGAAAAAUUAACACAAGAAAAUUUCUGUAACUAAUUGUAUCAGUGUGCGCCAACUUCACUUAUUAAAACAUGGUUAUUUCAUUUUCAUGGAUAAUCAUUUUGACACCGGUCAAAUUUAAAAGUUUUAAAAAAUAUGGGCGAUUUUUCUUUCCAGCUAUUCCCAUUAACUAAUAAAAGAACCGUCGAAAGGGUUCGGGGAUAAUAUAGUAAUUUAAACUAACAGUUUCUGUGCUUCAAAUUUAUAUAUAUAUAUAAAGUUGUGAUUACAAGAGGUGAUGUGGCAUCACUAUUUCUCAUCUUCUCAUAUUCUCUAUUAUCUAAUAAAUUGGUUGAAAUUAAAAAAUAAUUACAUUACAAAAUAUUAAAAAUAGAAAAUAAUUAUUAGAUUAUAAAUGAUUACAUGUCUUUUCAUCUUUCUAUUUAAAUUCAACAAUAUGUAACCAUUAAUAAUAAUUAAUUAUAAGUCUUAAAACAUUCAUUUAUUUUAUUAUGCCAACAAUUAAAUUUUAGUGGCUUAAAAUACAUCAAUUAAUUAAUAUAGGAAGGAAGAGAGGUUCUUUCAUCUUCCCUCAAUAAUGCCACUAGGGUCUAAGUUUAAUUUUAAUAAUUUUAAUGUCUCUUCCUCUUUCUAUUUAAAUCCAACAAUGUGUAACCAUUAAUAAUAAUUAAUUAUAAGUCUUUUGAAACAUUCAUUUAUUUUAUUAUGCUAGCAAUUAAACUUUAGUGGCUUAAAAUACAUCAAUUAAUUAACAUAGGAAAAGAGGUUCUUUCAUCUUCCUUCAACAAUCCUAAUUUUAAUGCCAUAAUCCCAUAUUUAAUUAUGCAAUCUUUUAUUUAGUGCUUUUUGACUUCUUCAAAUUUUAUUAUGCUAGCAAUUAAACUUUAGUGGCUUAAAAUACAUUAAUUAAUUAACAUAGGAAGAUAAGUUCUUUUAUCUUCCCUCAACAAUGCCACUAGGGCCUAAUUCUUCUUAUUCUAAAUUUAAAUUUCAUUUGCUUGCUAUCAUCAGCAACACAAGUCAAUUAUGAUGCAACUGCCAUUAUAAUUAAUGGAGAACGACGAGUUAUCUUCUCUGGUGCAGUUCACUAUAUCCUCGCAGCACUCCACAAGUACUACAUGCAAAUAAUUAAUUUACAAUUUCUGAAAUCACUUGCACUUUCACAUUUUCUUCUUCUUUUAACCAAAAAAAAAAAAGGCUACUUUGCUGCGAAAAUAUUAUCUUAAUUUUUUUUCCUAACAAGCCAAACAUGAUCCCACAUUCAAAACGGUGCGCUUUCAUGUUUAGGAAAAAUCAUGGGCAAUAUUUUUGGAUCAAAUAGCAUUGUUAUUUUUUAAAUAUGCAAAUUUUGAUAUGAUUUAUUUCUAUAUGCGUUGUAUUUGUGCAGAUGUGGCCAGAUCUUAUACAGAAGGCAAAGGGUGGACGGCUCGAUGCAAUUGAAACUUAUAUUUUGUGGAAUGCUCAUGAGUCUCAGCGUCGCCAGGUGUCAACUAUUAUUAUUAUUAUUAUGUGCGAUAUUUAUUAUUAUUGAAAUAGACAUACAAAAUUAAUUUAUUUAAUCUUUCUUUUAAGAAGAGAUCAGUACGAUUUCUCAAGAAAUUUAAAUUUUAUCAAAUUUUUAAUUUUUAAUUUGAUAUUUUCAAAGCCGCGCUAAGCGCGGUUAUAUUUUCUAAUCAUCAAAUCAAACUCACACCUCACAAAAGCAGAGAAAUCAAACGGUUUCCGACUUUACGCUUUAAAUUCAGCUUCAUUUCUUCAACUGAAGAAUCGGUCGUCUCUCAUUUUUUAUUUAUUAUAUAAAGAGAAAUAUAUAAAUUUAAAUGGCGAGAAGAGCGGACGAGGAAUACGAUUACUUGUUCAAAGUGGUAUUAAUCGGCGAUUCGGGAGUCGGCAAAUCGAACUUACUCUCCCGAUUUUCUGGUAACGAGUUCUGUUUGGAGUCCAAAUCCACUAUUGGCGUCGAAUUCACCACCCGCACUCUUCAAGUAACUAACUUUUCCUCUUUCACUUCUCUUCAUUUUUAUUAGUUAAUUAAGAUCCAGUUAAUGUAAUUAAUUUUAUUUAAUCUUUUAAUUAAAGUUCUAGAUUAGGCUAACUUAGAUUCAUGUCAAGUUGAAGUGCUUUACUUUCGAUCUCUUUUUCGUCCUAUGUUUAUUUGUACUUACUAUUACUUUGUUUUUGGGUUUAAAUUUUCGUUUUUGAAGUGUUUACUGAAUAAAUUUCUGAGCUUUAUUUGUGUAUGAUAAUUGAUUUGUGAUUUUAAUUUUGUGACUUUUUUUUUUUUGGAAUUUAAAUUUGAAUGCUUUUUAAGUUGAAUCUGAAUGUGUUGGGCUGCAAUUUAAUUAAGUCAUCUGUGAGCGCCAAAUUGUGAUAGCUAUAUAUUGGGGUGAAAAUUUGGGAUUUAAAGUUAUGUAUUUAAGAUGCAGUUAAUUCGCAAGUGAAAAUUAUGGGCCGGCAGAUUUUGUCAUUGGAAGACUGUUCUCCACAUGUUGAAGUUGGAAGACUGUUCUCAUUGAAUUUAUGUUAAAAAGCUAUGCGCGCAUUAAGUUAGUGCGAGAAACUGCUGAAGCAUAUGUCAGCUGUGUGUUUGGAGCUGAGUAUUCUUCAUUCCAAAUUUUUGGUUUUGGUUGACCUCCACCAUGACUCAACCCACUUGAGUUAAAAUCCCUAGAGUUACAUUCUACCCAUGAUAUUUGAGAUCAGGUCACCGUAUUUUAAUACUUCUCUGGAAAACAAAUAAAUAUGUUAAAUCAGGUAGGAAAAAGAAAAAGUUAAUUAUUGAGUUGUAAUGGUGCAACUAAUGUUUUGAAAAGAUGGGGCACAGGUUACAAAAUUUUUUUGAGUUUUGGAUUAAAGGAACAAAAUUAUUGAUGUCUAGCUCACAAUACUUGAAGUCACUCUGUGCUUCAUCAUGUAAAAUGGAUUGAAUUGCUGUAAGAUCAGGUCAAAUUAAAAUGUUUAAACUCAUUUAUAAGAAAUGAAUUCUCAAUUGGACUAGUCUUUCACAGAAACUGAUAUCACAGAAGUUUUGAGUCAGAUGCAUCCAACCAAAGCCCCUGGCCCAAAUGGUCUCCCAGCAGUAUUUUUCCAAAAGCUUUGGAAUUCAGCAAGCAAAGGAGUUAUAGCCACUUGUCUGCAUAUCCUCAAUGAUGGAGGUAAUAUUGCUCCUUUGGAUCAUACAUACAUUGCUUUAAUUCCCAAAAUAGCAAAGCCUAGGACUGUGAUGGAGUAUAGACUAAUCAGCUUAUGUAAUGUAAUUUAUAAGAUCAUUGCAAAGACUAUAGUGAAUAGGGUGAAGCUAAUCUUAGAUCAUGUUAUUUCACCAACUCAAAGUGCUUUCAUGCCAAAUAGGCUCAUAACUAAUAAUAUAAUUAUUGGGUAUGUGUGUCUUUAUAAGAUUCAGCAUUGCAAAAACAAAAAGCAUGGUCUAGUGGCUUUGAAAUUAGACAUUAGCAAAGCAUAUGACAUAGUAGAGUGGGAGUUUGUAAGAUGCACUAUGGAAAGGUUGGGUUUUUCUCACAAAUGGGUGGAACUGGUCAUGAGAUGCAUAUCUGCACCAUCUUUUUCUAUGCUGAUCAAUGGGGUAGCAAAAGGCCUUAUCCAGCCUCAAAGAGGCUUAAGACAAGGCUGCCCACUCUCUCUAUAUUUGUUCAUUAUUUGUGCUGAGGUUUUCACAAAUAUUUUGAAGCAAGUUGAAUUGAACCAGCUGAUUCAUGGAUUAAAAUUCAAUAGGGACCUGCCUAUUACUCAUCUUCUGUUUGCAGAUGAUAGUUUGGUUUUCACAAGAGCCACUAAAGAAGAUUGUACGAACCUGAAGUAACUCUUUGAUUGUUAUGCUGCUGCCUCAGGCCAGAUUUUUAAUUUUGAAAAGUCCUCCAUGUUCUUCAGCGAUAAUCCCAAGCAAGAGCAGAUAGCUACAAUUAAGGAUAUAUUUCAACUUCAAGUGGUUUCAAGACAUGAAAGGUAUCUUGGACUACCUUCAAUGGUGGGAAGAAAUAAGACCAGCUUCUUAAACGAUAUCAAGCUUAGAAUUAUAAACAAAAUCUCCAAUUGGCAAGCAAAAUUUUUCUCAUGUGGAGGGAAGGAGAUACUCAUAAAGGUAGUAGCUCAAGCAGUGCCUGCUUACGCCAUGAGUAUUUUUAAACUUCCUUUAGGGCUAUGUGAGGAUAUACAGAAGGCCAUUGCUGGGUUUUGGUGGAGAAGUUCAAGGAAGCAUAUGUCUAUUCACUGGUCCAAGUGGGAAAGAAUGUGUCAAGCUAAGAAGAGGGUUGGCUUGGGUUUCUGAGACUUGUCUAGUUUCAACCAAGUGCUUGUGGCAAAACAGAGUUGGAGGAUCAUUCAAGCGCCAAAAUCUCUCAUAGCUAAGGUGAUGGAGGCAAGAUAUUUCAAACAUUCGGAUUUUAUGGAGGCACAAAUUGGCUCAAACCCUUCUUAUAUGUGGAGGAGCAUCCUGUGGGGGUGAGAUGUUAUUCAUAAGGGUCUUAGAUGAAGAAUCAGAGAUGGAAAGUAGGUGAAAGUGUAUCAAAGUGACUGGUUACCAAGACCUGUAACGUUCAAACCAAUAUCUCCUACAAGUCUCCCUUUGGAGACUAUGGUUUCAGAGUUGAUUGAUCAAGACCACUACUGGAAAGAUCUUGUAAUAAGACAACAUUUUCAUCAAGAAGAUGCUGCCCAGAUACUUAAGAUCCCUCUGCCAAGACAACCAAGACCAGACCAAGUUUUGUGGCAUUGCGACAAAAAGGGUUACUACUCAGUCAAGAGUGGGUAUCAACUAGCUCUACAAAUGAAGUUUCCAACCAAGCCUAGCAGUUCAUAGGAAGGCAAAAGUGCAUGGAACUCAAUUUGGUAUUUGUCAAUUCCAGAGAAAGUAAAGAUAUUUAUGUGGCUGGCUGCAUAUGACAUGCUGCCCACAGCAGAGAAUUUAUGGAAGAAAAUAAUAUUACAAGCCCCCUGGUGUCAGAGAUGCAGGAGUUAUGGAGAGUCUAUCUUCCACACAUUGUUUGAAAGUAAAGCCUUGCGGAAAAUUUGGAAGCUCACAUCUUUUAAAGAUAAAGUGAAAGCCCCAAAAUGUAAAGAUGUCCUAAGCUUGCUGUUGGCUUUGGCUGAUCGACGAAGCAAGACUGAAAUGGAGCUGAUAGUUGUUUUGUGCUGGAGCAUAUGGCACUCAAGGAAUCUUUUUAUUUUCAAAAGCAGAAAUGAAGAUUCCCAAUUAUCAGUAGUUGGAGCUGAGGCAAUUGUUAAGUCUUAUAAAAGAAUUCAAAUGCCACAGAUGCAAGCAAUAUCAGAUCAAAGUUCUGCAUCCCAGAAGUAUUGGAAGUGUCCCCCUGCAAGUUGGUUCAAGGUGAAUGUUGAUGCAGCUAUAAAGAUAGACCAACAAAGAGUAAGUCUGGGCAUUGUAAUCAAAAAUUCAGAAGGUAAACUUAUAGCAGCAACCUUAAAGCCAACGAAAUGGCUUGAUAAAGUGGAUCUGAAGCAACUAAGUUUGGGCUGGAAGUAGCUGAAAACGCUGGAUGGUUACCUUUGAUUGUUGAGAUUGAUUCACAGGUAGUAGUAGAUUUAGUCUUAGGUAGAAAAAUCACAAAGGCUGAGAUUUUUGGGUUUGUAUCCAAGGUCCAAGAGAUGAUGAAGAGAUUAAAACAUGUCAAGUUACAACACACACCAAGAACUUGUAAUGGUUUUACUCACACACUUGCUAAGUUAGUUUUAGACUAUUUUGAUUAUCUGAUUUUGUACUAUGGGUGAAUAACAUACCAGCCCAUCUUUUGUAUCUAUUCACAAAAUUGAAUGAUUGAAAAUGAUACUUUGAUUUCAAAAAAAAUAAAAUACAAAGAGCUAAUUAUAAAUACAUAAUCCAAGAAAACAGUAAUAAUAAUUUAUCUCGUAAACAAAAUUAAAUAAUAGCAAUAAUAAGUGGAUAAAGCUAAGUUCGAGAGGUGAGAUAGGAAAUUCUCCCGCACGACACAGCACAAACAAACUUUCCCUUUCAUUUUCUUUUCUCUUUCUCGCUAUCCAAACAGAGCAAAAGGACCGUCGCAAGAUUCUUCACUUCCAUCCAAAAUCACGAGCAACGAAUAGCGAGCCUCCCUGUUUCCUUCCUUUUUUUGAUAUUAACAUUGUUAACAUCUGCUCAUUUUCAUUUGACAAUACUUCAAUUUUUUUUUUUUUUGCCUUUUCAUAUUUUUUUGGUUGAAGCGAUUAUCUGUUCAAGCUGUUGCUUAUCGGAGACUCGUCAGUCGGAAAGUCCUGCCUGCUGCUCCGAUUUGCUGUCUGUUGACUUUUCCUUUCCAUUUUUAUUUUCUUUUUUUUUUAUAUUAAUUACUUUCUAUUUUAGCUUUUUGUUCUCUGAAUUUGUGUUAUUAAAAUGAUAAUUUAGAUGAUAAAUAAUUAUUAUUCUUGUAAAUUUCAGUUUUCAUUACAUUAAAUAAUGUAAUUUUUUUUUCAAUUUUUCAGGAUGAUUCUUAUGUCACAGCUACAUCAGUACCAUUGGAGUUGAUUUUGUAAGUCUCUCUUCUAUAUAUAUGUAAUUAUGUGUAUAAGUUAUAAUAUGAGUCUCUGUACGUGUAUGUAUGUAUGUGUAUGCAUAUGUGGAAAGAAAUGUUGGCAGACUUCGGCAUUUUACUUUUUUUUUUUUAAAGGGAAAUUAUCACCGGUAUACCCUUAAAUGUCACCGGUAUCAAACGUACUACAACACUUUUCGCUUAUAUCACUCGUAUACCCUAAGUUGACAAAAGAGUUCUGGCGUCCACCUUUCCGUUUACUACCGUUAAGAACUUAACAGAAUUUGAGCAAAAUGACUAUUUUACCCUUUAAACUAAAAUGAGGUAAAAAAACAAUUUUGCCUUGAAAAUUAAUGUAAAUUUUCAAUACACAAAAUUUUUUUAUUUUGUUAUUAACAAUACAUUUUUUUAUUAAAAAAAUAUGAAUUAUUAAUGGUAUAUAUUAUUAACAAUUAUCCAUAAAAAACUUCAUCUUAUACCAUAAAACAUUAUUAACAACAUAUUAUUUAUAAUUAUACAUAUUAUAACAUAAAAAAUUCAAGUUGGAUCUUGGAGGAGUAGAUCUUUAAUAAUUUAGGUUAAAUUUUGGAGGAGUAGAUUUGGUUGUAAAGUAGUUUUUUUUUUUUAGCAAUUAUUAACAAUUAUCUGAUAAAUGGGAUGACAUGUCAUUUUUAUCAAAAUAUAUCAUAUGACAUGUCGUUUUUUACUAUAUAAAUGGGAUGACAUGUCGUUUUUAAAAAAAGACUAGAUUACCCUUAUGAUGUCAGCGCUCGCAAACGGCAGUUAACGGAUCGGUGGACGGCAGAAGUGUUUUGUCAACUUAGGGUAUACGAGUGACACACUUGAAAAGUGUUGUAGCACGUUUGAUACUGGUGUCAUUUAAGGGUAUAUGACUGAUAAUUUCCCUUUUUUAAAUUUUGGCAGAAAAUAAGAACUGUGGAGCUGGAUGGGAAGACGAUCAAACUGCUGAUUGUGAGUCAAAAUUUCCUUUUAUCUUGUAUUGGGAGAAAUUCAAUUUGUCUUAUUUAGUGAAGGUUAUGUUCAAGAACCUUGCCUUAUUUUCUUUAUUUGAAGAGUGAUAAGUUGAAAUGAGUGUAUUUUUCUUAUAAACAUCAUUUAGGUAAUGUCUGAUGUUUGAUUGUUUUUCAUCUGUUUAGUGGGACGCUGCUGGACAGGAGCGAUUCAGGACUAUAACUAGCAGUUAUUACCGAGGAGCCCAUGGAAUCAUAGUAAGAAGCCUUCCUGCUUCUUGGUUUAAAUCAGAAAGUUUGUGAUUUACAUGUGACAUCUUAACAACGUUGUAUGUGUUUAUUAACUUAUUUUUCAUCUUUCAUUACGCAGUACAUUUUCCAAUAAAUCUGUAUACAAGAUGAUGUAGUCCAAGAAUGGGAGUGAUAAUAUGAUGCAAAUUGUCUAAUAAAUUCUUAUGACAUAUGAUGUUGUCGGAAGUAAAAGUCUUGCAAUGCUGUAUUCUCUUUUAAGAAAGAAUAAGUGGUAAUUUUGUUUUUCCAAUUUUUUAAUUGAGCAACUGUGUGAGAUUAAUUAAAUGUGUUGGGAUUUCAACAGAUUGUCUAUGAUGUAACGGAGAUGGAGAGCUUCAAUAAUGUCGAGCAGUGGUUGAAUAAGAUUGACAGAUACGCUAAUGACAGUGUAUGCAAGCUUCUAGUUGGGAACAAAUGCGAUUUAGUUGAGAACAAGGUUGUGGACACAUAGACAGCCAAGGUAUGUUCGUGAGUUCUGUCGCCUGAACUUUGAAUAUAAUUUUAAACUCUUCUCAAGUGCAUUUGCUUGAUAAGUUUCUGCAUACCCAGGACACUUAAACUUUGGACAGUCUGUAUCUCGAGCUGGAAUCUUUUUUGUCAAUACGACUUGUUAAAAUAAGGGUUAUUAUCGUUUGAAUCCUUCAAGAAUUGCAAUAAAUCUAAAGUCAAUUAAAAAUAUGAUUUCAUCAUUUUACUGUUAUAUCUAGACAAAAUCCAUUAUUUUACUACAUUUUAUUAGCACCGAUAGUUGACCUAUUGGCUGACUGAUAAAAUAUCAAUUUUGUACUUUAUAUUAAUUCUUUUUUGGUUAGAAAAUAACACACAAAGUAUUACAAUAUUAUAAAUUCAAAAUAGAAAGUAGUUACAAAUAAUUCCUAUUAGCCUAUGAAUAUAAUAUUUGAUACCUCUAUUUGUGUAAUUUUUUUUAAAGGGUGAAAUUGGUAUUUUCUUUGUACUAACGGAAAUGUAGUAAAAUGAUAAGUUUUGUAAAGAUAUAGUAGUAAAAUGAUAGACUAAAAUACUUCUGUAGUUGUUUGAUAUAUUGUAAUUCUUAAAGUAGUCAAUUGAUAAUAUCUCCUAAAAUAAGUGUUUGUAAUAUUUUCUCAUUUUAAUGCAACUGAUUGUUUAAUAAAAUUGUAUUUCUUUGUUAAUCUUUUAUCAUGUGCAUGCUCAGUGAGAAUUUGACUUACUAGCACACAAGUUUGACUCUUCAUGUAAAUGUCCCUUGUAUCAUAUCCUUCAGUGUUGAGUGUGUUUCCAAUAAAACUGAGUAGGGGAAUCCUUAAAUACCUUUUCCCUUUUUCCAAGGGCCGUGCCAAAUUGCUCUAAGUGAUUAUCAAUGGAUAAUGAAAAUAAAAUUUUUAUUAAAGCAAUUUUUUCCUUAAAUGGUGGCUAAUAGUACCCCUUUUUUGGAAAAGAAAGUCAAAACAUGCCCAAAGAGAAUCAUUUACUUUCCUCUAAUGUAUUUUCUAAUUUGUUUCGAGCCUUGAAUGUUAACCUCUGUAAUUCAAUUUGAAACUUGCCACCCUUAGUGCUUCACUCAAAUGGUUGGUUAGGGUGAGAUCUUUAUCAUUUUCCUGGUCUCUUUCCAAGGUUAUCUAAAGGGAUUUGGCAGUCUGAUUCUUUAGGGAAUAUCAUUGCAUAAGAUAUUGUUUGUCAAUGAAUAAUUUCUAUUAAUUAGUUAUCUAUAUAAAUUGGUAAAUUUUAACUGCAUAAUUUGCAUGCAAUAAGAUUUUAUAAGAAUCUUGUUUUCAACUCAUGACUUAGACUAAUGUGAUAUGUUGAGCAUUAAGCUACAAGAUCUGCACAUCAAAGUGCUUCACGAUGUUAAGGAGAAAGCAUCUUUUUCUGCUUCUUCAUGUGAUUUAAAGUUUCCAAGGUACUUAUCCUAUAAAAUAUCUUUCAAGACUUUGGAAAUGCUUUUAUGUAUGACUGAGAGAAACUUGUUGGGUUGGUUUUUAGCAACGGACGGAGUUAUGGACUUUGUGCUGACUUGUUAUUGAUUAAGACAGUACAUCGGCUGAUCUAUUGGCAUCAAGCAGCAGAUGCAGAAAUUAUGGGUGGCAUAUCAUUGUAUCUAAGAAUAUUUAUCUCCGAGUGAAAUGCAGGCAUUUGCAGAUGAACUGUGGAUUCUUUUUCUGGAGACGAGUGCCAAAGAUGCAAUCAAUGUGGAGCAGGCUUUCUUGACCAUGGCUGGCGAGAUUAAGAAAAAGUAAAAUCACUUGACUCUUUCCUUCUUGCCUUGUGAUUGAUUCUGUGAUCCAUUGCCUAUUUGCAAAUGCUGACUGUUCUUAUUCAACAAUCACCAUUAUUGCUGGUUAUAUGCACGGUGAUGAAAAUUCUGCAAUGAGUAACUUUUUACCUAAUGUUUUCUGUUGGAACAAAUUACUCUGGUAGAAAAGCCCUACAGGGUUUGAGAAAACCCAUGAUGUGACGAUUGUGAGCAUUUUAGACACCGUGUAUGGGUUUAUUUAUGACUAUAAAAUGGUAAGAUUGUUUCUAGUUUUGGUUUGUAGUUCAUAAAAGGAUUCAAAAUUUGACAUCUGUCUAAAUCAGAUUAAUAACAUGAUAAUGUACAUAUGCAAGAUGUGAGGAAUUGUUUUAACUCACCCCUAAACUUUAAGAAAUUGAAACAUUAUCAUUCAAAAUAUUUAACAUUUCCAGAAUUGAUAGUUGUCUAUUUGAGCAGUGACUGGUGGUUAUCAUGAACUGAUGUGUGGUUGUGGUGUCAAAUCUUGGUGAAACCUGUUGUCAUCUGCCGGUUAACAUAAUAAUUUCUUGAUUCACUAAAUAUGAGUUCAAAUUUGAUGCAGAAUGGGCAACCAGCCUACUGCAAACAAAUCUUCUGGAACAGUUCAGAUGAAGGGACAGCCAAUCCAGCAAAACAGCAACUGCUGUGGUUAGCCGAGCAUCUUAUUUUACUUCUACAUGUUAGCUGACUGAUUGUAGACAGUUUUAACUAUGUUGACUGCAUUAUCUUAUGAAUCUUUUAAUCUGUCAGAUUUAUUUCCUGCUUUAAGUUCUUUCCGUUUAUAACAAAUUUAAUUUCAUGCUUCAUUGCAUUCCAAAUUCCUGUCAAUUUACGAGGGAAAAAGAAAAGAGAGACGAGAUCGGAGAAAAUGGUCAAAUUUGUUAGGGGGAGAGAGCUGUUCAAGUAGUUUUUAUUCUUGUUUAUUGUCGUGACCCUCUUGUAGCUUGUCUAUGACCUGGAAGUCCGGUCAUAUCGGAUGGGUAAAGUUACCAAAACGGCAUCAUUUUGGGUGAAAUAUCAUAUUUAUGUAACACUUUUGAUAAUAUUUUUGUGCAACAAAAAAAUGUUCGCGGUACCCUUUUCACAUUGUGUAGCGCAUGAUCGGAUGAGAGCAGUCUGGAUUGUGGCAUCACAAGCUAAUGCUUUGAUUUGCUUAGUUUGUUUUUUGUUUCUGAUUUUUUCUUGGCAUUGGGUGGCAUAUUAUUUCUCUUUUGAGUUUUCCUUUUUUUUUUUUUUUUUUUGUUAUGGAAUCUAGAGAUAGUGUACAUGUAUGAAGAUGACGUAAUAAAGUUAUUUGAUAAUCUCAAAAAAAAAAAUUCACUCUAAUAAAUCUCGUAGCAAGCACAUGGUUUAUAUUGCAAGUCUUUUCGAAACUAAUUCAAAGAGAAAAUAUAAUUGAUCUUUACUUGUCAUAAAGAAUUCUAAAUAAAUUCAUAUACGCAUCGCAGCUAAUUAGAGCCUCUAUACUUACAUUUGGUUUUUGUUACUUUUUUGUAGAGUUGUGCUGUGCAUAAAAGUUUUGUUAAAUGAAAUCGGUGGGUGAAGAGAAUUUUCAGAAGCAUACAUCAAAGUAAUGAUCAAUAUAAAUAUUGAUUGUCUCAAGUUAGAUUAUACAAAGAUGAAAUAAUGCUAAUCUAGUAAAUUCAAUCAUAAUAAUUUGACUUCCAUUAUAUUAAUUAUGUCCAAUCGUGCUACUUUAAUAAAGAACCCUCGAGCAUUUAUAUGUAUACAACAAACAAAAUUAAUUACAAAACGAUCUUUGACAAAGUCUGACCGGUCAACUAUCCACCAAAUUUUGUAAUAUGUUACCGUUGAACUCUCAUAUCAAAUAUGGAUAGACAGCGCUUUGGCUAACAGUGAAAUAUAUACGAGCAUAAGAGCUCCGUUCUCUGUUUUGAUGGUGUUUCUCUUUGUGGUUGUUGGACAAAUUGUAAUGUGAAUUUCUAUUUAAUGGGUAUCAUAAUACUUUUAGUUACUUUGGGAUUGUUGAUUUAUAUAUGACCUUCAGUAUCCAAAAUUCAGAUAAUGAUAACCUUUAGUACUCUUGUCAUAUUACCUUUCGUGUUGGUGUUAAUAUCUUAAUUAUGUACCCAAUGGUAAGGACAAUAUAUAACUAAUUUGAAACUUCUAUAAUUUUAUAUAUAUAGAUGCAAAUUCAUUUUUAAGAGUGCAUUUAAUCAAGCAGUCCAUGCGUUUAUACUGAGUAAUUGGUUCAAUAUUAAUACAAAACUAUUUUAAGUAACAUGUGGCAUAUUCUAAUUCCAGCGAGCUUCCAACUCAUAUUCCCAAUUUAAAAGAAAAGUUUUCAAUUUUCUCCAGAAUGUUCUACAAAACGUUUCUUCUAGUCUCUACACUGUGCUAGAAUUUUCUCUAAGUUUCUUUUGCAAAGACUUUUAAAGAACUAUCCAGAUACUGAGCUAUAAUCCAGUCUAAGCGUAUAUAUCUCUCUAUAUUUCACCUCCCUCCAUUUCACUAGAAGAUCAACAAACACUUAGCUUCGAAACAAACACUCUCAAAAAGCUAGCUUAGCUACCCAGAUGGCGAAAUCAAGAAUUCUUGCAAUGACAAUGUCGUUUCUUGUUAUGGCUGCAACAUUGAUUAUCAUGGCAUCACAAGCAAACACUAUGAUGUCGUACACACAAUCACCUUUCUUUGACGUGAUGUUUGCAAUGACAGAAGAUCCUUUCAGGGUUCUUGAACAAACCCCUCUAACAAUCCCAAAAAGAGCUGAUCAGCAUCAAACUCUAGCCCUGGCGAGAGCAGACUUGAUGGAGCACCAACAGCACACGUGAUCGCGCUCGACAUUCCAGGGAUGAAGAAAGAUGAAGUGAAGAUUGAAGUUGAAGAGAACAAGGUACUCAGAGUGAGUGGGGAGAGGAAGAGUGAUGAUUAUUAUAAGGAGGGAGUUGAAGGAGAGAAACGGCACAGAGCUGAGAGCACAUUUGGCAAGUUUUAGAGGCAGUUCAGGAUGCCUAUGAGUGCUGACUUGGAACAUGUUAAGGCUUAUUUGGAAAAUGGUGUUCUGAGGAUCACAGUGCCAAAGUUUGCUGAGGAGAAGAGGAGGCAGCCUAAGGUUAUUAGCAUUAAUGAAGAGCUCGCAGGUAAUUCUUUCGGUGAAGAUAUUAAGGCCACCAAGGCCCAAAUGUGAUUGAUUAAAGAAAAAAGUGCUUGCUUCGCUUGAUAUGCUAUUUAUCAAAAACUCCUUUUACCAUCCAUUUGAACAUACAUAAACACGCCCAAUUUGAAAGAAAAAAAAGUAGUAAUUAUAAAAUAUUUCAAUCGUCUACUGUUCAGCCACCAAAAACCAAUUUACCAUCCAUUUCAACGCCUAAUUUGAAAAAAGAAAAUACUAAUAAUAAAAUAUUCCAAUUGUCCAUCCUUUCACAAAUCAAAAAUAUCACCAAAAACCAAUUAACCAACUAUUUCAACAUAAGGUAUAUGGGUUAACAAGUCCCAAUAUUGUCCUCCAUCCUUUCUGCACUUCUCUCCUAUCAACGGACAUCCCUGGAUCCAUAAUUGCAAAAGUGAGUAAGGCAGGCCCUUCUUCGGAAAGUAUUUGAGCUUGCGACAAUGAUAGAGGUGCAAUUCAGUGAGGUUUUGAAGAUCAACAACCGAAGAAGAUAGGCGUUCCAGAUUUGGAAAUUUAGAAAUGCUCAGAGAUGUUAGAGAGGCAGGAAGAGGAAGCGCGGUCCCUAAUCUUUUGUCCUCUAGUGGAAAUGACACCAUGUCGUCAUCGCAUCCGCUGAUUGUAAGAUGUCGUAGAGAAGAGAAUCUGUGAAAUCCCCGGCCCCGCUCAAUCAUUGACUUCCAAAUCUCCAUAUUACCCUGAAUAUGAAGUGAAUGAAGGUUGGUGGGAAGGCCAUCUUCUUCAAGGCUUGGAAGCUCACCUCCUAUUGUUAAUUGUUGAAGAGAGGUCAGAUUGUACAAUCCCUUGGGUAAGGCCUCUAGUCUCUUACAAUCAAAUAUCGUCAGCCUCGUGAGUUUCGCACAAGGCAAUCCCCCUUCGGGAAAGGACACCAGAUUUCCACACCUCUUUAUCCAUAUCUCUUGAAGCUGGCGGAGAUUAUGUAAACCACUCGGUAAAAUUUUCAGAUUUUCACAACGAGAAAUGUCGAUUUCUUCAAGAGAUGUGUUGUUGUCCAAUCUUUCUGCUAUUGACUCCAGCUUUGAACAUCCAUAAACACGAAGGGACUUAAGAGACGGAGGUAGAUUGCCAACUUCAAGGGACUCAAGCGUGGCAGGUAACUCGUUUUUUGAAAAUAUACAUGUCAGUGAUGGACAAUGCCAAAUUUCUAAGUGCUCAAGAAGAGAUGAGGUGUACCUUCUGCUGCUGCUGCUACUGUGGAUGCCCUCUUCCACUGUCAAAGUCCUUAUAUUAUCGCAGCGGCUGAUCUCUAACUUCUUAAGUCUCGAUGGUAGCUGGACAACAGCAAUAUAUGUCAACGAUCGGCAACCCUCAAUAUUCAAGAUCUCGAGAGACGAAUUGGUGUCGCACAUCCAUGCCUCUGGUAACGAUUUCAGUGCAUCACAAUGCCUAAUCUGAAUUUUCUUCAACUUGGAAGGCAGAGCAACCUCAGGAAAGGAAACAAGGGAACUGCAGCCUUGGAUUUCUAUAUCUCUCAAGGAACUGAGGCUGAACGAUGAUUGUGGCAGCUUCACAAGGCCUUCGCAAUUACUCAAUCUUAGAUAUUCAAGUCUGCAUGACAACUCGCAGAGCUGCUGUUGUUGGUCUUUCUCUUCCUCCGCAACCAAGGAUUGAAGUUUGGGACAACUUGUAAUCGCCAGUCUUUUGAGAGAGCAAAUGUCUUGCAGUAAUUGGUUAUGGCUCUUCCAUAUACAUGUUUCAUUUUGAAUAUUAUUUAUCUCCAAUUCUUCCAGUUUUGGUAUUCGCGGCUUCAAUGGCCCUGCGAGAAACACUUCAUUUGAUGUAUCUCUACAAACCACUGAAUUCUGUGAGCCGAGAUGAUCAGUUGCACUUCUCCACACAACCUUUUUACAUCCACCAAUUUCCAUUUUGCAAAGAGCUGGAAGACUCGUAACUGACACUGACAAUUCUUCACAUUCUCCAAUAACAAGCAUCUCCAAUGCAGGAAGGCAUUCUGGCACUGUUCCCCGCAGUUUAGAACAUCUUGAAAUGCGAAGCUCUCUCAAUUUAGGAAACCCUUCAACUCCCUGACCAGAUCUAAGAGGAAUCCAGUCUUCCCAUUCUUGCAUGUCUACAAAACGAAGACUUUCCAAGCAUGGAAAAGGAAUCAGGGAAUCAUUCCCAUAGAACUCUGAACCCAAACUCUUUACUCUACUCAUUCCACGCACUUCAAGAUGCUUUAGAGAGGGUAGUUGCCCGACUGAUGGCAGGGUAGUACACAUGCCACAAACUUCAAAAGUUAAGGUCGCCAAAUUUGAGAAUGAGGAAUCUCCCAACCAAGUUGGAAAUUCUUUACCUCCAUAGCCACUGAUACAAAAUUGUUCCAGAUUUUCAUGAGGUUUUAGCAUGUCGACCACAUCCUUUUCAGUUUCUGCCUCCCUUGAAGGCAAACCAUUGGUACUCCGUGUCCAUCGAAAGGUUAACACUUUAAGAUUCUUCUUUCCAUCCAAUUGAGCCUCCUUCGCAUCACCAAUGUCUUUUACGUUCUCUAAUUUUGAAAUGUUAAGUGGCCCACGAAGAUGCGUCAACAAUUUUAGCUCUCGUAUCCCGGAACCACUGUCUUUUCCCACAACAAAAUUACACAGCGUUUGAAGGCAAGUCAACUUACCAAUUCCUAGUGGCAUCUCCUCCAAUGAAUCUGUAUUUGAAUUAUUGAGAUGAUGCAAUUUGAUGAGAUUUCCCAUGUCUGUACACAACUUCUUCAGUCGCCGACAGCCCUCCAACAGAAAGGUGUGCAAAUUGUAAAGCUUGUUGACUGAUUCGGGUAGAGUUAUAAUGCCAGUUCCCGAUAAGUUAAGGUACCUUAAAUACCUCAAAUCACCAAUUGAAUCCGUUAGCUCAUAGAUGCAAUAUCCACGCAAAGAGAAGACCCUCAACCGUUGGAGUUUGAACAACUUAGGAAGAAUGCUACGAGCCAAGAAUCCACGCGAACUAUUUGACAAUGUUACUGGUAAAAAAGUUCGCAAAUGGUGGAUAUCAUGCAAGUCCUCAAACCUUUGAACGCGAUCACAAUAUCCACGAAUGUAUGACAGGUGACGAAGAUUUUUGGAAAAACUUUGUUGCUUGUUAACCUCUGAGUUAUACUCCAUUGUGAAGUACAUCUCCCCAGCGGCCCAAUGGGCAAGUUCGUUGACAAGGUCGUGCAUCACAAAUCGUGAUUUGUUGUUGCUUGAUUGCUGGAAAAAAGAUCUUGAACGUAGCUCUUGAAAGAACUUUCGACCUAGAUCUUCAUUAGGAUUCCCACUCUCUUUGUGAUCCAAGAAACCCGAAGCAUACCAUAAUAAAAUUAUCUCCUCCUCUUCAAAUUCAUAAUCCUUUGGAAACAAUGAGCAGUAUGCAAAGCAUUGUUUCAAAGGUGCCGAAAGAUAAUAGUAGCUCACUCUAAGCGCCGGUAUAAUGUCACAUCUCUCUUCGGGUAAAUUCCAUAUCAUGCAACUGAGCACACCUUCCCAAUCACUCCCGCCAAGUUUACCACGCAAGAGUCCACCAAGAGUUUUCGCAGCUAAGGGCAAGCCGUUGCAUUUGAUCACUAUCUUCUUGCCAAUUUCCUCCAAUGACUUGUUUGAACUGAAAUCUCUUGUCCCCAAAGAGUGUUGAGCGAACACAGACAGACAAUCAUCAUUUGACAACUUUUUCAAUUGAUAAGCCGGAGCAGUCCCCAUGAUGGCUGCAACCCCUUGAUUACGAGUUGUGACAAUAAUCUUACUUCCCGGUGCGCCAGCUUCAAAUGGAGGUCUGAGUCGAUCCCAACCAUUGUAAUUCUCAUUCCAAACGUCAUCUAAAACAAGCAAAAAUUUCUUUUGAGAUAACUUCUUCUUCAGCUCCUCUUGAAGCAAAUUUAAAUCACUAUCAUCAGUAGUCUGCUUAGUAAUGGAUCUUAGAAUUGUUUUUGUUAGCCUGAUAACAUCAAAAUCAUCAGAGACACAAGUCCAUGCCUUGAGAUCAAAAUGACCCUGCACUCGAGCAUCAUUAUAGACAAGCUGAGCGAGAGUGGUUUUACCCAGCCCGCCCAUGCCUAUGAUAGGAAUAACAGAGAAUUCACCAUCAUUUCUCAAAUCAUCCCUCAACAACAAUUCAACAAUUUCUUUCUUUUCUGCUUCCCUGCCAAAUACCUUGGCUUCAUUCACCAAAGAGGUUGUGGGUAGUCUUUGCCUGUCUUUUUUGGACCCCCCAGUUGAACUUUCUUUCAAAUCUAGCAAGUCUUUCUGUGUCACAAUUUCUUGAAAUCUGCCGUUGAUCUCUUUGAUUUUGGACAUCAAGGCAUAAUCGAAAUGAAUCGAUUGUGGAGUAAAAGUGGUGCAGCAAGUAGGAAUGAGCUUCCGAAACUUACUUGUUCUUGUACGACUGCUACUGGGUUGAUCCUGAGCCGCAGCUGGAUCUCCAUUUCCAAGCAGCAACCUCCUCCGGAAAGCCUCAGUUUGAAACUCAUCCAACAAGUCUUCAACAUCAUAAGCGAAGUUCUGAAGCUUGCCAAGCCACUUCUUCACAAACUGAUUAGUCGUCUUCUUCUCCUCAGCAUCAUCAAGUACCGCCUUGAUCAUCUCCAACAUAUUCGCCCACUUCAUCAGAUCGGCCUGGAUUUGCUCUUGGCGUGCAAAAAACAGAAUCCCCUCUGAAGCUAACUUAUUGACCAGCAAAUCAACGGACGCCGUAAGGAUUGCCUCUCCGAUGAUUGACAUUUUUUUUUUGUUUUGCAAAGAAAGAAACAGAAUUUUGAGUUUUGAAAAGCAAAAUGAGAAAAUUGAACAAUAAGUGUGGAGGGUCAAGCAAAAUGCGCGUAACAAGUCUUCCGCUUCUUGUUUAUUCCAGGAAAGUGCAAAUAAAAACAGAGCCCACCACCCAUUAAUAAUUGAGCAAUUCACCAAUCACGAGUCGCCACCACUCGUUACCAUGAAUAUAAUAAAUUGCACCUCCAUAUUUGCAGGGUCCAGCAACAUUGACCCAGUGUCCGGGUAAAUGCUGAAUAACGAGGAAAAUGGAAUGUAUCCGCUACGAAGCUUCGCUUUACAGGUCUUCAAACUCAUAAACCAAGAUAAAUCAAAACGUUUAUCUCUCUCUCUCUCUUUUUGCCAUAUAAUUACUUUAUUUAUUGAAUUAAUUUCCAUGCUAAAAGGAAGACUUAAAAGUGCACUACAAUUUUUUAUAAUCACAAUGGUAAUUUCUACUAUCAUGUUAUUUUAACGUCGUGUUAAAAUAAAUUAUUACAAUUUUUUUUUUUAUGAACACUCUUUUCAUUUAUAAAAUUUUUAAUUUUUAAUAUUUUUCUCACUCUUUUAGUCUUAAUAUUUGUAUUUCUCUCUUCAAACUUUCUUUAUUAUUUAAUUUUUAAAAAAAUAUGAAAAAAAGUAAGAAAAAUAUUAUACUUAAAAGAUAGUGAAUAUUUUAUGGGUCUAAUACAAGCCUGUAUUGUUUUUGACAAUGAAAGAGCACGCGAAAAAUCUCACUCAUAGAAAACUUUGUGAAAGGCAUUUGAAUGUGUGGCCACAUUUUCCGAACGAAACGAUAAGGCUUUAGCCUUAUAAUUGCAAUUAGUUUGUCUUGUAACUAAAUUAUUGCCGACAAACACCAUCAUGCUGACAAACCGUGCAUGCACGUCCUCAAUCACCCCAUAUUUCCCAUUACUUCCCGUACUUUAUGCGUUAUUGUUUUGUAUGUUUUUUGGUGUUUUCGGUGUAGUUAGGGAUCGUAGCGGGUAGCGUCUGGUACGGGUUUGACAUCACCAAACCCGCAUCUACAAAAAAUUUUAAUUACGUAAUUCAAAUUAUAAAUUUAUAAACAUUGCCUAAAAAAACCACAUAAAAUACUUAAUUCUACAUUUUAUCAAUAUAAAUGAGAAAUGAAAAUAUCAACAUUAAAACAAAUACACAAAAUAUAUCAAUUUAACAUUAAUUCUUAAAUUCAAUUACCAAAUAAAUAAGUCUAUCACAACUCGAAGUGCUUUUAAUUUAAAAAGAAAAAAGAGAAAGAGAAAAAACAAAGAACUACAAAUCAAAGUAGCACUCAGACCUAUUUUAUAGGCUCAUUCGACACUAAGAUCUUAGAAUUAAGAUCUUCAAUUCAUUCAUUACCACUAGCACCCAUUCAACGUGGUUUUUCUAAGCAAAAUAUAAAGUACAAAAUUACAAUAAGCAUAUGAUACUCCAUGCUUUAAGUUAAAGGUCCUUAUAUAAUUUUAUGAAUAAUGUUUUAGUGAAAUUUUAUGAUUAAAGUUAAAAAUACACAAAUAUUAAAAUAAGAAUGUUGGAUACCUGUGCAACUAUUUGCCAAAUUUUUUCUCUAUAAAAAUUCACUUGCAACUUGCAGCAGGUUUAAAUUUAUAAUAUCAAACUUGAUUGUAGCUCGCAAAAUUUUUAGAUCUGCGAUAAUUUUGCCACCCUAAGUGUAGUUAGUAUUGUAUAUCGUGUGUUUCCAAUUGGCUCUUAUAAAAAGCCUAGAAGUUGUUUGAAUAAUGAGGGAGACAAAUAUUUCCCAAAGAUAUUAUCUUUUUCAAAUUUUUUUUCUUUUCUCUAUUAUUGUAACUUCAAAUCCUUAAAAAUUACAUAUUACAGAUAUGAACACAAUGUUUUGACAUAGUGCCUUUUGGCUUGUCUAGAGAAAUUUAGGAUAGAUUUUGAUGUACGAAGGCUCUGUUUACUAUUGAGAUUUUGAAACUUUUGAGCCACACUUGAAAUUUGUUUAAUUCUAAUAGAGUUGUAGCCUUCGAUAUGUGAUUGGUAUUAAUCAAGUGUUAUGUUUACAGCAGUUAAAGGCAUAUUGAAUCAAAGUCCACUUUUGAUUGAGAUUUUAAAGUAGGUUUUUAAUUUGAUAGCCACUCAAGUUCAAAUAUUGGAACCACAGUGCACCUUUCACUUGCUAGGCUUUAACCAAACAGACGACGUUAUACCAACUUCUAUCCAAUAAGGCAAUGAAAACAAAAGCAAGUGAAUUAAAAAUAAAUAAUUUCUCAUUAAUUUGCAACAAGUAUUAAUAAAGUGCAUGAGAAAAUAUGUCUUUUUUUAAAUGAAAAUAAAUGUGUUAAUUAGUCAAUUUAAAUGGUACGAUGUUUUGAAAUGAUAGAAGCGAUCUGGAGUUUAAAUCUUACUCUUGACGUAAUAUUUAAUAACGAAUUUGAAGAACAAUUAAAAAUUAAAAGAAAAGAAAAAAAUGCUUUCUUUUUUAACGAUGGUAAUUUGUUCAGACGAUGAAAAUUCUUAGAGUGGUAUAAUAAGUAUUUUUGAGUGUUGCCAUCGCGAAUAAUAUUUAAUUUCCUUUAUAUAGUUAUAUCUCAAGUAACAUUUGAACAGAAGCAAGUUGGAAAUUAAAAAAAAGAAUGAACCAUUGAGAGAAUGAAAAACAAACAAAAAAAAAGUUAAAAAAAUUGUAUCUCAAUAAAUUUACUUGAGAGCUACUCUAUUGAUCUGUGAAGAGAAAACACAAAGAAUAAUGAUGAAUAUCAAUUAAUAGGACAAUUUUUGUAUUUUUCGUUUAUUCAAGAAUCACGAAACUUCAUUUAAACUUGUUAUUUCAUUGAUAAUAUUAAUAUAUUAAUAUUGAACAAUUAAUGUAGGAGACAUUCCUUUCCAAUUAUGCCCAUAUAUUAAUUAAAGAUCACCCAAAAGUUCAGGGAUACUAUAGUAAUUUAAGUCAACAAUUUCUGCGCUUGAAAUCAGCCGAUCAAACUCACUUUAGAAUAAACUGAGAAAUCAAAAUCACAUUCUCCGAUUCUACGAUUUCAAUUCAUCUUAUUUCUUCAACUGAAGAAUUGGUUGUAUCUCGUUUUAUUUUAUUUUUAUUUUUAUAUUAAGAUAAAUAUAAAAUAUAAAUGACGAGGAGACUGUAAAUGUAAAAACAAAAGAAGAGCACAAGUUUUAUUGAAAAUGACUCUUUUCAUCAUUUUGGCGGAGUGAACGUAUCUACAUAUAAACUAAAGAAGCACAUUUGUUUGUAUUAACUUUUUUAUUAUAUUUUUAAUAAUAAGUCAUUUUUCAAUGAACUUAUAUCAAUUUUUACGAAAAUAAUAGGUGUUAGUUAGUUGAUUCAAAUGGCAAAACCUCUUGGAUAGAGCUUGUAAUUUAUUGGCUCAUGAAUUGUCUAAAUUGACACUACCGAAGCCAAAUUAUUAUAUUUGGUUAAAAAAGCUCCUGCUGAGCUUCAACUUUAUUAUUCUAUGAUGUUUAUUAAUAAAUAACAAUUUUAUUAAAAAAAAGAUCUCUUGAAAUGAUACAAAAGAUUUGGGAUCUGAAUCUCACUCGAAUUUAGCUUGAGGUUGGCAUUGUUAGCAUAAUAUUUGAAGAUAGAUUUUUUUAAAAUUAAAAAUCAAAAGAUUUUUUUUUCUGGUUCACACUAGUUAGUUUUUACUCAUAAUGAGAUUAAAACAAAAGCGGAAUAAUAAAUCUUAACAUCCUGACUCAUGGAUAACAUCUAGAUAAGAUAGUAAAAUCUAUUAUGUCCAAAAUAAGAGGUAUGAAGUUUGAAUUUCGCUCACAUAGGUAGUAAGAGAAUCAAAUUAUUGUUAGAUUAAAUUAAUUAAAAAAAUUAUCUGAUAUCCAAAACAGCGUGUCAACAAAAUUGAAAUAAAAGAAAAUUGAAGAGAAAAACCAUUGAGAGAACGAAAAAUUAACACAAGAUAAAUUCGAUAACUAAUUGUAUCAGUGUGCGCUAACUUCACUUAUUAAAACUUGGUUAUUUCAUUUUCAUUGAUAAUCAUUUUGACAACGAUUUUUCUUUCCAGCUAUGCCCGUGAACUAAUAAGAGAACUGCCGAAAGGGUUCGGGGAUAAUAUAGUAAUUUAAAUUAACAUUUUCUGUGCUUCAAAUCAUCAAAUCAAACUCACACUUCGCAACAACAGAGAAAUCAAACUCACGGUUUCUCUCAUUUUUAAUUUGUUAUAUAAAGAUAAAUAUAUAAAUUUAAAUGGCGAGAAGACCGGACGAGAAAUACGAUUACUUGUUCAAAGUGGUAUUAAUCUAAAAAUAAUAAUAUUAAAUAAAACACCUGUAACUUUAAGACAUACAUAUUCUCAAAGCACAAGUGGACCCGAGAGGCUGGGAGUCGUAAUGGAAAGAAGAAUACAAUAUAUGAAACUUAUAACGUUAUUUUUACUAUAUUAUAUUGAUACUUUGUUUUGUUAAUCAUAUAAGUCAAUCAAUAAUUGUCUAAUCAUUGGAAUUAAAACUAAUGUAUUAAUUAAAAUUCACAAUCUAUUAUAAAAAUAGUAAAUAUUAAUACAAAGAGAUGGACCUAUUACAAAAUAAAUUCACCAAAAGUUCUAUUAUACUUAAAAUUCUCAUUCAAAAAAAAAUAAUAGUUGAAUACAUGUACAAAAAAAGGGGAUAAAUAAAAAAUAAUAAUAAUAAAUAAUAAAAGGAUAGUUUAUAUAAUAAAAAAUAAAUUUAUUGAAUAGGGAUGUUAAUAAUAAAGAAUAAUAGCCGAUCAAACUCACUUUAGAAUAAACUGAGAAAUCAAAAUCACAUUCUCCGAUUCUACGAUUGACUCUUUUUCAUCAUUUUACUGGAGUGAAUGUAGCUACAUGUAUUGGGGACCAUAAUGGAAACUGGUAGAAACUACAAGGGCUAAAAUCAGAACAACGAACGAUAUCUCAAGGUCGCCAAAACGUAAAUAAUUAAUCUUAUCUUUCAAUUGAUUUUUUUGUGGAGACAGAGACAAACCCGAACAGCAAAUAGCCAUAACUGAUAGGACAACUAAGUUGGAACACUCCGCAGACCCACGAUUUAAUAUCUUUAGAUUGUAACGGUUUAACCCCCAAAAAAAAAAAUUAGCAAAAUAUUUCUUAAAAAAAUGAAAAAAAAAAUGUUGAAAAGAAGAACAAAAUUGUGGUCCACGUGUCAUUUCAGAAUAGGUUGCUGGCAUAAACAACCGGCCCCAUCCCGGACAGAUGUUAUUUGAGUGGUUGGUACGCGUUUCUACUUUUUUGUUUUAGACAUAUAUAGGUAAUCCCUAUCUUAUAUAUAUAGGUAAUCCCUAUCUUAUAUGCAUAUAAGAUACAUAAUGUUAUUAGUUUAAAUAAUGGGUGCAACUCAUGUUUUUGAAACAUUAAGAUCUUUAGCCAUUCUCUUACCAUCCCAUGGUUAUUUAAGUUACAAGAGACAGUAAAAAAACGUCAUAUUUUAAUUACUUACACUAAUAAAUAACUUACUCACACUAAUGCCGCGACUACCGCUUGCUUUUUUUCUUUUUUUUGCCCUUUUGUUUUUGACUUUUUGACUUUUGCUUUUGGUUUAUAAUAAUAAUAAUAAUAAUAAUAAUAAUAAUAAUAACUACUUUUUAAUUUAAUAUAAUAUAAUAUUAAAUAAUAUUUUUAAUUUUAAUUUUACAUUAUAAUUAUUAAUAUAUAAUUUAUUAUUCAAUAUUAUUAUAUUAUGUUUUUUAUUUUUACAUUAUAAUUUAUUAAUAAAUUUAUAAUUUAUUAUAACUAAUAAUAAAUAUUUAAAUAUGAAUAAAUAUGAAUAAUAUUAAUUUAAAAUUAAUAAUAAUAUAAAAUAUUAAUACAAUUUAAAUAUAUUAAUAUAAUAUAAUAUAAUAUUUAAUUUGAAUUAAUCACAAAAAAUUAAUACAGUACAGUGUAGCACCAAAUAUUGUACAUUAUUAUUAUAAUACAAUGUUAAUGCAACGCAACAUAAUACAAUACACCAGCAUUAAAAUAAUACAAUCUAGCAUAAUACACUACAGUGUGCGAAAUACACCGACAUAGAAUUACUUUGUUUGUCUUGUUAUUUACAAUUAUUUAAUCUGUAGACCCACUCAUGCUCCUUCUAUGUAACAUAGAUACAAUUUGAGGAAGAUUAUCAAUUUUUUCUGAUAAAAAAUAAUAUAUACCACUUACUCUUUAUUGUUUUUAUAAUGUUCAACAAUCCGCUUGAGAUAAAAAAAAUUAAAUGAAAAAGAGUAAAUAGAUGAUUUGUUUGAUGUUAUAUCUUAGAAAUAUAAAAUAUAUAUUUAUUAUUAAAAAUAUUUAAAAAUAAUAAAGAGUACAUAAAAAAUAUCUUAUCCUCAACAACAAGAUCAGACGACGUCAAUUCAGCAAAAUGACUCGAACAAUCUGAAAGUCCAGCGUCACCUCUUGGGACACAUCUGGCAACCUGUGUAGCUUUGGCGAGAGGUCUCCCAAAAGGACGAUUAAGGAAAGAUUGCAAGACGGAAUCAUGAAAAUAGUAGUACUGAGUCCAUCACAGUCAAGUCUUAGAAAUCACAUCCCUGUAUUAAUUUCCAGAAAAAUGUUUGUUCCAUAUUAGCCGUACACGUAUAUAUUCUAUAUAUUGGGAAUAGAAAGAGCAUAUGUAGAAAAUUCUUCAUUCAUCAAUUAAAACUUAACUUAUGUACGAGGGUUAAGUGCAGAGUUUUUAAAUUUGAAAGGGAUAAGUAUUAUAGUCCAUUUCAAUUUAGAUACAAGUACUUCGAACUUGUAUUUGAGGUAAAAUCUGUAUACCAUAGUACAUAUUAUAUAUCCAGUCAUGGGAUCCAUGCAUGGUUCCAUGUAAUUCGCAGAGUUGAACUGGAGACACUGAUUAGUUCGUUGUCUACUUACCAACUAUGUACUACUAAGUAAUUUUUUUUUUUUUUUUAUGGUUCAAAAGCAUAUUGUCAAACCACAAUCAGAAGCAACUUAAGUUUUGAUUACGGUUCACCAGAAGUCACAGCUAGCAAGUGAUCCUUGCAUCAUUUUGCUAAACAUACAAUGAAAUUAACCCUUGUAAUUUCGGCCUUUGCCAUAGUCGUUUUGUUUAUUAGGUUUAUGUUUAUCAACAUGAUAUAUUGUCAACCAUAAUCACAAUCAAGUUGUUAAUUAUUUUUUAAAUAAUGCGAAGGUACAAGAUUUUGGUCUUUGAGUGUGGAGUUAAAAAUAUCUCACCUCAACAUUAUUUGUUAAAAAUUAUGUCAAAGAGGAAAGCAGAUUCAAACAUUACUUCAAUUUUCUUUAAGAGCAUCAAAAAAUCGUUAAUAGGCUACUGUUAUUUGUUAGUACGAUUUCACAAAAGGAAGCUGGGGGAAGAUGAAGCUUUCAAGUCAUGUAUGCAUCAAAGUAAGAAAGAGCUAACAAGAGAUAGACAAGUAUUAACCAUCGUUAUCAGAAAUUAAAUAUGUCAGCAUUUUGUCAGUUCUGGCCAUAUUUUGAAAGAUUGGAACUAUUAGCACCCUAAUUUUCUUUUGAAGCUCCUUUUCUGUGGAAACCUAUUUUAAUUUCCAAAAUAUCUUUUUUCCAUUCUUUUAGUUUCUUUCUGAUUCAAAAAAAAAAUCAGUUUCUUAAACAACUCCAACUAUAAAUAUUUUUUUACAAAUUUUUGAAUUGUUAAAUCAUGUGUGUGUAUAAAUUGAAUAGAAUUAAAAGUGAACUCAAAUGGCUAUUAUGUAAUUUUUUUUUUUAUAAUUAAAGAAAAGUUUAGAAUGCAAAAGUGCGUGUGAGAAAACAAAAAAUAUAAAUCGCCUUUGAUGUAGUUGUAUGGCUGUAAAGAGUUAAAUGGAGAAAUAUAGUAUAUAGUUAAAUUUAUUUUGUUCUUUAAAACGGGUAGGUUUUAUAAGAAUUGUUUAGAGGACUACCAAUAUUUGAACUCUUUUUCAAAUGAAGUGAUGUCCAAGAAUAAAAUCACUACUCUAUCAUUGCUAUUAGUUUGUCUUGUAAUUCAAUCACUGCCGACAAGUAUUAAUUGUGAAUAUUAUUAUUUUAAAAAUAUUAUUAUUAUUAUCGUCGUUAUUCUUAACAGCAAUGACUAGAAUUAUAAUAAUAACAAUAACGUUAUACCAUAAUAUAACAACACAAUAAUAUUUUAAUUGAGAAUAAGAAUGAAAUUAUGAAAUUUAGGUUGGGUAAAAUUGAUGAGUGAAGAAAUUAAAUUACCAUUCUUUAAGCUAAAUAGUUCAUAAAUUCCACAUAUUUUAUUCUUAUUUUUCUUAUAUUUUAACAAGUAAAUAUUAUUAAUUAUUUUAAUAUUUUAAUUAAUAAACACGAGAUUAACUACAGAACCAAAAGAUCCCAAAAAAAAAAGGGGAGACGCGUGUAUGUAUUGCUUGUGACAAGUCUCACCCAUGGAAAACUUUGUGAAAGGCAUUUGAAUGUGUGGCCACAUUUAAUGAACGAAACGAUAACUUUAAAAGAAAGUAUGUAAUGUGUUGAUUAUUAGGCUUUAGCAUGGUGAUUGCAAUUAGUUUGUCUUUUAAUUAAAUUAUUGCCUACAAACACUAUCACGACCCACGUCCGCUACUUGUGUGAAUGUGUGAAUAAAUAUCCGCAGCAUAUUAUCAAACCUGAAGCGUGAUCAUCUUUAAGUUUUGGUUACAGUUCAUCAGACGUUAAAAAAAAAACUCCACAUAUUGUUGGUUAGCUAAUUCUUGCAGCUAGCAAGUGAUCAUUUUCUUUCCCCUACUGCCGUAGCAUCAAAUCCUUGCACUUACAUAUCAAGUGGUAUUCGAGCCGUCAAAUGAUCCAUGGAAACACGCAACAAAUCAAAUGCUGAAUUUUGCGAAGAGAUUCACGAAAUCCUUGCUAUACAUGAGUCUAGUUUUGACCAAGUUCACGUCACCCAUCAGCUGCGGGUUUGAAUGGUACCUAGUGGAUAGUUUGUGAGUUCCCACUAAUAAAAUCACACUUGCAACAAAACUUAAAAAUUUAAAUUACGUAAUUCAAAUUAUAAAUUUGUAAUCGUAGCCUAAAAAAUCACAUAAAAUACUUAAUUCUAGAUUUUAUCAAUGUAAAUGAGAAAUGAAAGUUUUAACAUUAAAAUAAAUACACAAAAUAUAUCAAUUUAACAUAAAUUCUCAAAUUUAAUUACUAAAUACAUAAGUCUAUCGCAACUCAAAGUGUAGCACCAAAUAUUAUACAUUAUUAUUAUAAUAAAGUGCUAAUGCAACGCAACAUAAUACAAUACACCAGUAUUAAAAUAAUACAAUCUAACAUAAUACAAUACAGUGUGCGAAAUGAACCGAAAUGGUAUUACUUUGUUUGUCUUGUUAUUUACAAUUAUUUAAUCUGUAGACCCACUCAUGCUCCUUCUAUGUAACAUCGAUACAAAUUGAGAAAUUUUAUCAUUUUUUUCUGGGAAAAAAUAAUAUAUACCACUUACUCUUUAUUGUUUUUAUAAUGUUCAACAAUCCACUUGAGAUAAAAAAAAUUAAAUGAAAAGAAGGAGUAAAUAGAUGAUUUGCUCGAUGUUGUAUCUUAGAAAUAUAAAAUAUAUAUUUAUUAUUAAAAAUAUUUAAAAAUAAUAGAGACUUCAUAAAAAAUAUCUUAUCCUCAACAACAAGAUCAGACGACGUCAAUUCAGCAAAAUGACUUGAACAAUUUGAAAGUCCAGCGACGGUCACCUCUUGGCACACAUACGGCAACGUGUGUAGCUUUGGCAAGAGGUCUCCCAAAAGGACGAUUAAGGAAAGAUUGCAAGACAAAAUCAUGAAAAUAGUAGUACAGAUAUGCAAUGGCUAAAUUGUCCUCGAUUGAGUCAAUCGCAAUCAAGUCUUAGAAAUCGCACCCCUGUAUUAAUUUCCAGAAAUAUGUUUGUUCCAUAUUUAUCGUGCACGUAUACAUUGUAUGUAUUGGGAAUAGAAAGAGUGUAUGUAAAAAAUUCUUCAUUCAUCGAUUAAAACUUAACUUAUGUACGAGAGUUAAGUGCAGCGUUUUUAAAUUUAAAAAGGACAAGUGGUUAGAGCUCCCACAAAUGUAUUGUAGAAGUUUAAUUUAAAUUUUUCUUCCUUAAAACUUAAGUGAAGACAGUUUUUCUCCUAAAAGUAGAGUUUUUCUAGGAGUUUGACGUCCCUCAAAUAUUUGAGAGGGUUAAAAUCUGAGCAAUACUAUAUAAGAUGUAAUGUAAACUGAUCUCAAUAAUUAUAUAAUUGUAAAUAUCAUGAGCAACAAUCUCAUUAAAAAAAAAGCAGAACAAGUGUCGUAAGUGUUGGAGAAAAAUUAGGUUUUUAAAUUUUUUAUAAAACCUUUUGAAGAUCUCUCUCAUAUAAUAUAUAAGAAUACGUAAUCUAGAAAUCGUAUCUUGAAAAUCCGAUUUGGCUUUUUUCGUUGAAGUGAUUUAGGCUCCUUGAUCACGAUCUUCCAUCACCACUCCUGUUAGAUCACGAUCCGUCACCACCACACUUGUUAGAUCACGAACUGUCACCAAUGAUCUUCCAGGUUAUGACUCAGGUUUGAUCUGCACUUGACGUGUGGGCGCCUUUAUCACUACUAAAGCAACUAGCACGAGAAAAUUUUUCUCUCAACAAUAGAGAGAAAAAUAUUUUUCUCUGAUCUGUAUAAAGUGGCUGCUCUCUUUUUCUUUUUAGAAAAUAAGCCUUUUUUAUAUCACUCUUUAGUGAAAACCCUAGACUCCAAAUAAUCAAAAAACAAAACUCACGUUAUUUGUUUUUUCUAUAGGAGACCCACCUUGUAAAAUAACAUAAGGCCCCUUACACAAAAGCUAAUUAAAUGGAGCCUCCCACUAAAUGAUAUAUUUAGGCUUUUGACCCAAAUAGCUAGUUAUCUUACUUAUUAGUCUAGUAGUGGUGCAGUCAAUUAAAUGAGCUAACCCAGGGAUCAUUUGGGAACAUACAAUAGUAGCUACAAUAAUUAGGCCUGUAAUUAAACUAGCCCAAUUAUUUACUUCCAAAUCUACUCCACUAAAAGAUUGGAACUGACUUCCAUAAUUGUAUGCUCGAAUAAUAAUUCGUCCCAAGCCACAUUGAUUUCUUUACUGCACAAUCCUUUGUACCACAUCGUUAAUUAAAUUGAUAUCUCAACUGUCCAAUCAAUUUAAUAACAUCUUAUUCCUUGAUCCUUACUGGUUUUCUCUAAUGAUCAUUUUCAACAUACUAAAUAUGUUGACACACUCUGGCCAGAGAAUUCUAUGAUCAAGUGCCGAAAACCCAUCAAGAGAUGUGUUGUACAAAUUCUAUAUUGUUAAUCCAUAACUCCAAUACUCAUAAUUGCUCCCACUAAGAUACCGGGUAAUCUUGACCACAAGGAUGUGUCUGCCCAUUGGUAAUUCAAAUGGAAUAACAAUUACAAUCAUGAAAUCAUAAUUAACUCAAGAUUAAGAUUACAGUAAAAUCAAUGCCUAUGAGAUUUAAUAAGUUUGACAGUUAUUACAAAGUUAAUUAAAUCUCAUAUGUGAUCCUGUUCAAUAUAGUCAUACUACAUCAAUAAAUUCAUACAUGAAUAAGACAAAUCAUUCAAUGAAUUUAUUACAGUCUAUACCUAAAUAAAGUGCCCAAUUUUAUUUAUCAACUGCGAACUAAAUUUAUUUAAUCAUAAGAUAACUUGUAUUUAUGUUUUCUGUGAAUCCACAUGGUGAUCACAUAAAUACAUCUAAUAUGAUUAAAUGGAUUUUAAUACAAAUAUUAAUGCAAUUAAGAUAUUUGAAUAAAAUACCUUAUUUAUUUUAUUAAUCAGAAAAAUUAUUUAUUACAAUUAAAUAAACACAUAUGCUUUUAAAGAGCAUAUUUUCCCAACAAUAAGCCCAUUUAAAUAAACUAAUAUUUGAAGGGGAAAUCUCUGUAUACCAUAGUAUAUAUUAUACAUCCAGUCAUGGGACCCAUACAUGGAUGGUUCCAUGUAAUUCGCAGAGUUGAACUAGAGACACUGAUUAGUUUGUUGUCUACUUACCAACUUAUGUACAACUAAGUAAUUGCAUGCUCCAUUUGCGACUUAUCUGUCCACCCUGCUUGCAUUGCAUUAACUACGUCCCCAAUCACCCACGUCCGCUACUUGUGUGAACGUGUACAUAAAUACAUAUAUCCGCAGCAUAUUAUCAAACCAGAAUCAGAAGCAACUUAAGUUUUGAUUACGGUUCACCAGAAGUCACAGUUAGCAAGUGAUCCUUGCAUCAUUUUACUAAACAUACAAUGAAAUCAACCCUUGUAAUUUCGGCCUUUGCCAUAGUCGUUUUGUUCAUUAGGUUUAUGUUUAUCAACAUGAUAUAUUGUCAACCAUAAUCGCAAUCAAGUUGUUAAUUAUUUUUUAAAUAAUGUGAAGGAACAAGAUUUUGGCCUUUGAGUGUGGGGUUAAAAAUAUCUCACCUCAAUAUACGGUGUUGUGCUCUCAUCAUCGUACUAUUAUUUGUUAAAAGUAUGUCAAAGAGGAAAGCAGAUUCUGUUGGGAAAAUAUGCUCUUUAAAAGCAUAUGUGUUUAUUUAAUUGUAAUAAACAGUUUUUCUGAUUAAUAAAAUAAAUGAGGUAUUUUAUUCAAAUAUCUUAAUUGCAUUAAUAUUUGUAUUAAAGUCCAUUUAAUCAUAUUAUAUGUAUUUAUGUGAUCACCAUGUGGAUUCACAGAAGACAUAAAUACAAGUUAUCUUAUGAUUAAAUAAAUUUAGUUCGCAGUUGAUAAAUAAAGUUGGGCACUUUAUUUAGGUAUAGACUGUAAUAAAUUCAUUGAAUGAUUUGUCUUAAUCAUGUAUGAAUUUAUUGAUGUAGUACGACUACAUUGAACAGGAUCACAUAUGAGAUUUAAUUAACUUUGUAAUAACUGUCAGACUUAUUAAAUCUCAUAGGCGUUGAUUUUACUGUAAUCUUAAUCUUGAGUUAAUUAUGAUUUCAUGAUUGUGAUUGUUAUUUCAUUUGAGUUACCAAUGGGCACGACACAUCCUUGUGGUCAAGAUUACCCGGUAUCUUGGUGGGAGCAAUUAUGAGUAUUGGAGUUAUGGAUUAACAAUAUAGAAUUUGUACAACACAUCUCUUGAUAGGUUUUCGGUACUUGAUCAUAGAAUUCUCUGGCCAGAGUGUGUCAACAUAUUUAGUAUGUUGAAAAUGAUCAUUAGAGAAAACCAGUAAGGAUCAAGGAAUAAGAUGUUAUUAAAUUGAUUGGACAGUUGAGAUAUCAAUUUAAUUAACGAUGUGGUACAAAGGAUUGUGCAGUAAAGAAAUCAAUGUGGCUUGGGACGAAUUAUUAUUCGAGCAUACAAUUAUGGAAGUCAGUUCCAAUCUUUUAGUGGAGUAGAUUUGGAAUUAAAUAAUUGGGCUAGUUUAAUUACAGGCCUAAUUAUUGUAGCCACUAUUGUAUGUUCCCAAAUGAUCCCCGGGUUAGCUCAUUUAAUUGACUGCACCACUACUGGACUAAUAAGUAAGAUAACUAGCUAUUUGGGUCAAAAGCCUAAAUAUAUCAUUUAGUGGGAGGCUCCAUUUAAUUAGCUUUUGUAUAAGGGGCCUUAUGUUAUUUUACAAGGUGGGUCCCUUAUUGAAAAAGCAAAUAACGUGGGUUUUGUUUUUUGGAUUAUUUGGAGCCUAGGGUUUUCACUAAAGGAAGAUAUAUAAGGUUUAUUUUCUCUAAAGGAAAAGUGAGAAGCCACUUUAUACAAAUCAGAGAAUAAGAUUUUUCUCUCCAUUAUUGAGAGAAAGAUUUUCUCGUGCUAGUUGCUUUGGUAGUGAUAAAGGCGCCCACACGUCAGGUGCAGAUCGAACCUGAGUCAUAACCUGGAAGAUCAUUGGUGACAGUUCGUGAUCUAACAAGCGUGGUGGUGACGGAUCGUGAUCUAACAAGAGUGGUGGUGGCGGAUCGUGAUCUAGGAGCCUAAAUCACUUCAGCGGAAAAAGCCAACUCGGAUUUUCAAGGUACGAUUUCUAGAAUACGAAUUCUUAUAUAUUAUAUGAGAGCGAUCUUCAAAAGGUUUUAUAAAAAUUUAAAAACCUGAUUUUUCCCCAACAGAUUCAAACAUUACUUCAAUUUUAUUUAAGAGAAUAAAAAAAUCGUUAAUAGGCUACUGUUAUUUGUUAGUACGAUUUCACAAAAAAAUCAGUUUCUUAAACAACUCCAACUACAAUUUUUUUUAACAAAUUUUUGAAUUAUUAAAUCAUAUGUUUGUGUAUAAAUUGAAUAGAAUUAAAAGUGGACGCAAAUGGCUAUUAUGUAAUUUUUUUAUAAUUAAAGAAAAGUUUAGAAUGUAAAAGUGUGUAUGAGAAAACAAAAAAUAUAAAUCACCUUUGAUGUAGUUGUAUGAUUGUAAAGAGUUAGAUGGAGAAAUAUAAUAUAUAAUUAAAUUUAUUUUGUUCCUUAAAACGGGUAGAUUUUAUAAGAAUUUUCCAGAGGAGUGCCAAUAUUUCAACUUUUUUUCAAAUGAAUUGAUGUCCUGGAAUAAAAUCACUACUCUAUCAUUGCUAUUAGUUUGUCUUGUAUUUCAAUAAUUGCCGACAAGUAUUAAUUGUGAAUAUUAUUAUUUUAAAAAUUUAUUAUUAUUAUCGUCGUUAUUCUUAACAGCAAUGACUAGAAUUUUAAUAAGAACAAUAACGUUAAUACAAUAAUAUAACAACAUAAUAAUAUUUUAAUUGGGAGAAUAAGAAUGAAAUUAUGAAAUUUAGGUUGGGUAAAAAUGAUGAGUAUCAGGAAAUUAAAUUACCAUUUUUUAAGCUAAACAAUUCAUAAAUUCCACGUAUUUCAUUCUUAUUUCUCUUAUAUUUUAACAAGUAAACAUUAUCAAUAGUUUUAAUAUUUUAAUUAAUAAACACGGUGUUAACUACGGAACUAAAAGAUCCAAAAAAAAAAAAAACCAGAGACGCGUGUAUGUAUUGCUUGUGACAAAUCUCACCCAUGGAAAACUUUGUGAAAGGCAUUUGAAUGUGAGGCCACAUUUAAUGAACGAAACGAUAACUUUAAAAGAGAGUAUGUACUGUGUUAAUUAUUAGGCUUUAGCUUAAUGAUUGCAAUUAGUUUGUCUUGUAAUUAAAUUAUUGCCGACAAACACUAUCACGACCCACGUCCGCUACUUGUGUGAACGUGUGUAUAAAUAUCCACAGCAUACUAUCAAACCUGAAGCGUGAUCAUCUUUAAGUUUUGGUUAGGGUUCAUCAGACGUUGGAAGAUAUCUUUCCUAAUUUGAAGAAGAUGGAAACUCCUUAUCCAGGUUCUUAGGCCAUGUUCAGUUGAAUGUCAUUUAUAAUUUUUAUUUUAACAUUAUGUAUUUAUGAAUACAAUUAUUGUUAUGAUUUUUUCAGGUAAGAAUGGAUGGUCUGAGGGUAACCCAAUAACUAUGUACAGUAUUAUUAAUGAAAAGAGAGCGUGAGUGACAAUUUGGAUUUUAUUAUCGUCCCUCAAUACGGAAGAAAUCUUGACCAUAGCGGUUAAGUGCUAUGUAACUCUUUCGUAUUAUGUUUAAUUAAUAAUAAAAUGAUGGGUUAUUAUUACCUGUCAAUUAUGUGAGGAGUGUCUUUAUUUGGUUUACUUCCACUUAUAAAAUCUCUUGAGAUAUAUAAGAGAUUUUCUUUAUUUAAUUUUGUGUACCGUGUCUUCUUGUAAAAAGAAAUUAAUAAAAAAAAUCAUUGUUUGCAAUGUAUUAACUAAGUUAGUGUAUUCAUGUUAGGUUAAUUGUGCUCUCUCUUCUUGAUAUUUUAAAAAAAAAAAAAAAUCCACAUAUUGUUGGUUAGCUAAUUCUUGCAGCUAGCAAGUGAUCCUUUUCUUUCCCCUACUGCCGUAGCAUCAAAUCCUUACAAUUACAUAUCAAGUGGUAUUCGAGCCGUCAAAUGAUCCAUGGAAACACGCAACAAAUCAAAUGCUGAAUUUUGCGAAGAGAUUCACGAAAUCCUUGCUAUACAUGAGUCUAGUUUUGACCAAGUUUACGUCACCCAUCAGCUGCGGGUUUGAAUGGUACCUAGUGGAUAUUUUGUGAGUUCCCACUAAUAAAAUCACACUUGCAACAAAACUUAAAAAUUUAAAUUACGUAAUUCAAAUUAUAAAUUUGUAAUCGUAGCCUAAAAAAUCACAUCAAGUACUUAAUUCUAGAUUUUAUCAAUGUAAAUGAGAAAUGAAAGUUUUAGCAUUAAAAUAAAUACACAAAAUAUAUCAAUUUAACACAAAUUUUCAAAUUUAAUUACUAAAUACAUAAGUCUAUCACAACUCAAAGUGCUUUCAAUUGAACACGAAAAAAGAGAAAGAGAAAAAAAAUAAAGAACUACAAAUCAAAGUAGCAUCCAUGACCCAUUUUGCAGUCUCAUUCAAUACCACUAGUACCCAUCCAACACGAUUUAUCUAAACAAAGUAUAAAGUGCAAAAUUACAAUAAGCAUAUCAUACUCCAUGCUUUAAGUUAAAGAUCCUUAUAUAUUUUUAUGAAUAAUUUUUUGAUGAAAUUUUAUGAUUAAAAUUAAAAAUACAAACAUUCAAAUGAGAAUGUCGGACACUUGCGCAACUAUUUACCAAAUUUUUUCUCUAUAAAAAUCGACCUGCAACUUUCAAUAGGUUUAAAUUUAUAAUAUCAAACUUGAUUGCAGCUCGCAAAAAUUAUCUGUUGCGGCCAAGACUUUGGAUUUACGAUGAUUUUGCCACCCUAAGUGUAGUUAGUAUUGUAUCUCAUGUGGCUCUUAUAAAAAGCCUAGAAGUUGUUUGAAUAACGAGGGAGACACAUAUCUCCCACAGAUUUUUUCUUUUUCAAAGUAUUAUGUUUUCUCUAUUAUUGUAACUUCGAAUCCUUAUAAAUUAUAGAUUGGAGACAUGAACACAAUGUUUUGACAUAGUGGACUUUUGACUUGUCCAGAGAAAUUUAGGAUAGAUUUUUACGCACUAAGGCUCUAUUUACUAUUGAGGUUUUAGAACUUUUAAGCCACACUAGAAAUUUGUAUUGUUUUGAUAGAGUUGUAGUCUUUGAUAUGUGAUUGGUAUUAAUCAAGUGUUAUGUUUACAAUAGUUAAAGGCAUAUUGAAUCAAAAUCCACUUCUAAGGGCUUGAUUGAGUGAUUGUAAAGUAGGUUUUUAGUUUGCUAGCCACUCAAGUUCAAAUAUUAGAACCACAGAGCUUUAUAGCCAAGUGAGAGAACUUGUGCCCUAAAAAUUGAGGGGUGCAUAUCAAGUUUUACCACCAAUAAAAGUUGGUGUUAAAACUUUAAUUUCCCUCUUAUUGAUGGAUAUGGGUAAUUAGGAGUUUACAUCCCCUCCUAUUAAUAGACAGGGGUUAUUAGGAAUAUUAAAAAAAAGUUUAAAUAUUGAAAAUAUAGGUAUGAGUUAUAAAAUUCAUAAUAUAAAGAAAAAAAAUCAAGAUAAAGAUUUAAAAAUUUAGAACCAUGAGAGCGUGACUUGUAAGUUUCAAAGAAGCAUGUGCAAAUAUAUGCAUUAUCGAUGCCCAAUUAAGGGUGGGCAUUAAGAUCGGGUUAACCCGAACCGAAUCGAACUUAAAAUUUAUUUUCUCACAAAUGGGUGGUUUGUGCGGGGGAUUCACUGGCUUUUGUUUGCAUUGCCUUAUUGGAUAAAGUCGAGCAUGAGUGAAGAAAAAUUAAAAAUAAAAAAUUUCCCAUUAAUUUGCAACAAGUAUUAUUAAAGUGCAUGAGAAAAGCCACCAGGAUAUGUCUUUUUUUAAAUGAAAAUAAAUGCGUUAAUUAGUCAAUUUAAAUGGUAAGACAUUUUGAAAUGACAGAAGCGAUCUAAAGUUUAAAUCUUACUCACACUUAAUUUAGGGUUGGGGAUUAAUUGACGUACGAUAUAAUAACGAAUUCGAAAGACAAUUAAAAAUUAAAAGAAAAUAAAAAAGUACUUUCUUUUUUAUGAUGAUAAUUUGUUUAGAUGAUGAAAACUCUUAGAGUGGUGUUAUCAGUACAUAGUUUCGAGCGUUGCCAACGUGAAUAAUAUUUAAUUUCCUUUAUAUAGUUAUAUCUGAACUAACAUUUUAACAGAAAUAAGUUGUAAAAAAAAAAAAAGGAACCAUUGAGAUUUGAGAGAACGAAAAACGAAUAAAAAAAAAAAAGUUAAAAAAUUAGAUCUCAAUAAAUUUACUUGAGAACUACUUUACUGAUUAGUGAAGAGAAAACACAAAGAAUAAUGAUGAAUAUCAAUUAAUAGGUCAGUUUUUGUAUUUUUCGUUUAUUCAAGAAUCAUGAAACUUCAUUGGAGACAUUCCUUUCCAAUUAUGCCCAUAUAUUAAUUAAAGACCACCAAAAAGUUCAGGGAUACUAUAGUAAUUUAAGUCAACAAUUUCUGUGCUUGAAAUCAGCCGAUUGAACUCACUUUAGAAUAAACUGAUAAAUCAAAAUCACAUUCUCCGAUUCUCCGAUUUCAUGCAAUUCAUCUUAUUUCUUCAACUGAAGAAUGGAUUGUAUCUCGUUUUAUUUUAUUUUUAUUUUUAUAUAAAGAUAAAUAUAAAAUAUAAAUGACGAGGAGACUGUAAAAGUAAAAUCAAAAGAACAACACGAGUUUUAUUGAAAAUGAAUCUUUUCAUCAUUUUGUUGGAGUGGAUGUGUCUACAUAAAAACUAAAGAAGCACAUUUGUUUGUAUUAACUUUUUUUUUAUUGUAUUUUUAAUAAUAAGUCAUUUGUCAAUGACCUUAUAUCAAUUUUUACGAAAAUAAUAGGUGUGUGUUAGUUUAUUCAAAUGGCAAAACCUCUUGGGAUAGAGCUUGUAAUUUAGUGGCUCACGAUUUGUCUAAAUUGACACUACCGAAUUAUUGUAUUUGGUUAAAAAAGCUCCUACUCUGCUUUAACUUUAUUAUCCUAUGAUGUUUAUUAAUAAAUAACAAUUUUAUUGAAAAAAAGACCUCUUGAAAUGAUACAAAAGAUUUGUGAUAUGAAUCUCACUCGAAUUUAGCUUGAGGUUGGCAUUGUUAGCAUAAUAUUUGAAGAUAGAUUUUUUUAAUUAAAAAUCAAAAGAUUUUUUUUUUUUGGGGUUCAUACUAGUUAGUUUUAACUCAUAGUGAGAUUUAAACAAAAAUGGAAUAAUAAAUCUUGAUAUCCUGACUCAUGGAUAACGUAUAGAUAAGAUAGUAAAAUUUAUUGUGUCGAAAAUAAGAGGUUUGAAGUUUGAAUUUCGCUUACAUAGAUAGUAAGAGAAUCAAAUUAUUGAUAGAUUAAAUUAAUUAAAAAAUUUUCUGAUAUCCAAAACAACAUAUCAACAAAAUUGAAAUAAAAGAAAAUUGAAGAGGAAAACCAUUGAGUUUGUGAGAACGAAAAAUUAACACAAGAAAAUUUCGAUCGCUAAUUGUAUCAGCGUGCGCCAACUUCACUUAUUAAAACAUGGCUAUUUCAUUUUCAUGGAUAAUCAAUUUGACACCGGUCAAAUUUAAAAGUUUUAAAAACUAUGGGCGAUUUGUCUUUCCAGCUAUGCCCAUUAACUAAUAAGAGAACCGCCGAAAGGGUUCGGGGAUAAUAUAGUAAUUUAAACCAACUGUGCUUCAAAUCAUCAAAUCAAACUCACACCUCACAAAAGCAGAGAAAUCAAACGGUUUCCGACUCUACGCUUUAAAUUCAGCUUCAUUUCUUCAACUGAAGAAUCGGUCGUCUCUCAUUUUUUAUUUAUUAUAUAAAGAAUCGGUCACUCUUCAAGUAACUAACUUUUCCUCUUUCACUUCUCUUCAUUUUUAUUAGUUAAUUAAGAUCCAGUUAAUGUAAUUAAUUUUAUUUAAUCUUUUAAAUAAAGUUCUAGAUUAGGCUAACUUAGAUUCAUGUGAAGUUGAAGUGAUUUACUUUCGAUCUCUUUUUCGUCCUAUGUUUAUUUGUACUUACUAUUACUUUUUUUUUUUGGGUUUAAAUUUUCGUUUUUGAAGUGUUUACUGAUUAAAUUUCUGAGCUUUAUUUGUGUAUGAUGAUUGAUUUGUGAUUUUAAUUUGUGACUUUUUUUUUUGGAAUUUAAAUUUGAAUGCUUUUUAAGUUGAAUUGAAUUGCUGUAUGAUCAGGUCAAAUUAAAAUGUUUAAGCUCAUUUUUAAGAAACGAAUUCUCAAUUGGACCAGCCUUUCACAGAAGCUGAUAUCACAGAAGCUUUGAGUCAGAUGCAUCCAACCAAAGCCCCUGGCCCAGAUGGUCUCCCAGCAGUAUUUUUCCAAAAGCUUUAGAAUUCAGUAAGCGAAGGAGUUAUAGCCACUUGUCUGCAUAUCCUCAAUGAUGGAGGUAAUAUUGCUCCUUUGAAUCAUACAUACAUUGCUUUAAUCCCCAAGAUAGCAAAACCUAGGACUCUGAUGGAGUAUAGACCAAUCAGCAUAUGUAAUGUAAUUUAUAGGAUCAUUGCAAAGACUAUAGCGAAUAGGCUGAGGCUAAUCUUAGAUCAUGUUAUUUCACCAACUCAGAGUGCUUUUAUGCCAAAUAGGCUCAUAACUGAUAAUAUAAUUAUUGGGCAUGAGUGUCUUCAUAAGUGGACAAAGCUAAGUUCCAGAGGUGAGAUAGGAAAUUCUCCCGCACGACACAGCAGAAACAAACUUUCCCUUUCAUUUUCUUUUCUCUUUCUCGCUCUCCAAACAGAGCAAAAGGACCGUCACAAGAUUCUUCACUUCCAUCCAAAAUCAUGAGCAACAAAUGGUGAGCCUCCCUGUUUCCUUCCUUUUUUUUAUAUUAACCUUGUUAACAUAUACUCAUUUUAAUUUGACAAUACUUCAACUUUUUUUAAUUUUUUGCCUUUUCAUUUUUUUUGUUGAAGCAAUUAUCUGUUCAAGCUGUUGCUUAUCGGAGACUCGUCCGUCGGAAAGUCCUGUCUGCUGCUCCGAUUUGCUGUCUGUUGACUUUUCCUUUCCCUUCUUAUUUUCUUUUUUUAUAUUAAUUACUUUCUAUUUUAGCUUUUUGUUCUCUGAAUUUGUGUUAUUAAAAUGAUAAUUUAGAUGAUAAAUAAUUGUUAUUGUUGUAAAUUUCGGUUUUCAUUACGUUAAUUGUUAGCUUUUAGGUUUAUUAAUGUAAUUUUUUUUUUUUCAAUUUUUCAGGAUGAUUCUUAUGUCACAGCUACAUCAGUACCAUUGGAGUUGAUUUUGUGAGUCUCUCUUCUAUAUAUAUGUAUAUAUGUGUAUAAGUUAUAAUAUGAGUCUAUGUACGUGUAUGUAUGUAUGUGUAUGCAUAUGUGGAAAGAAAUGUUGGCAGACUUCAGCAUUUUACUCUUUUUUUUUUUGGCAGAAAAUAAGAACUGUGGAGCUGGAUGGGAAGACGAUCAAACUGCAGAUUGUGAGUCAAAAUUUCCUUUUAUCUUGUAUUGAGAGAAAUUCGAUUUGUCUUAUUUUCUUUGUUUGAAGAGUGAUAUGUUGAAAUGAGUGUAUUUGUCUUAUAAACAUCAUUUAGGUAAUGUCUUAUGUUUGAUUGUUUUUCAUCUGUUUAGUGGGACACUGCUGGACAGGAGCGAUUCAGGACUAUAACUAGCAGUUAUUACCGAGGAGCCCAUGGAAUCAUAGUAAGGAGCCUUCCCGGUUCUUGGUUUAAAUCAGAAAGUUUGUGAUUUACAUGUGACAUCUUAACAGCAUUGUAUGUGUUUAUUAACUUAUUUUUCAUCUUUCAUUAAGCAGUACAUUUUCUAUUAAAUCUGUAUACAAGAUGAUGUAGUCCAAGAAUGGGAGCCAUAAUAUGAUGCAAAUUGUCUAAUAAAUUCUUAUGACAUAUGAUGUUGUCGGAAGUAAAAGUCUUGCAAUGCUGUAUUCUCUUUUAAGAAAGAAUAAGUGGUAAUUUUGUUUUUCCAAUUUUUUAAUUGAGCAACUGUAUGAGAUUAAUUAAAUGUGUUGGGAUUUCAACAGAUUGUCUAUGAUGUAACUGGGAUGGAGAGCUUCAAUAAUGUCAAGCAGUGGUUGAAUGAGAUUGACAGAUACGCAAAUGACAGUGUAUGCAAGCUUCUAGUUGGGAACAAAUGCGAUUUAGUUGUGAACAAGGUUGUGGACACACAGACAGCCAUGGUAUAUUCAUGACUUUUGUUGCCUGAACUUUGAAUAUAAUUUUAAACUCUUCUCAAGUGCAUUUGCUUGGUAAGUUUCUGCAUACCCAGGACACUCAAACUUUGGACAGUCUGUAUCUCGAGUUGGAAUCUUUUCUGUCAAUACGACUUGUUAAAAUAAGGGUUGUUAUCUUUUGAAUCAUUCAAGAAUUCACUACUACAAAAAUGACCUUUACUGACACUUCGUUUCUGACACUUCGUUUCUGACACUUCGUAAAAAGUGUCAGUAAUGGUUUACAUUUUGGUCAUUUUUUCCAUUUAACAAAUAUGUAUCAUAAAUCACUGGUACUAAGGUGUCAGUAGCAUAAAACUCAGUAAUUACUGAUGCUUUAGUAUCAGUGAUAAAGACAAAUAUAAUUCUAAUUAUAUUUUUACUUGGACUCGAACUCAAUAUCUCCGAAGUUAAAAUUUUAAUUUCAAACUACAAGCCACGUGUGCGCAUAUUUUCUUUGUUUGGUUAAACCAUAUAUAAUUAACCAAAAACCCUUUGCCAUAAUUUAACACAAACUUUUCGAUCUCCCUCCACCAAAUUUUGUUCCCUCUCAAACAAACUAAAAUCCAAAUCCCUAAAAUUCCAAGUGCCUAAAUCCUUAACUCUCCCUAAGUGCUAACCAGUGACAGCCCCUCUCUAAGGCCUUAGCAGCACGCACGAUGACGGCGGCACACGUAGCCCGAGUACCGGCAGCCCAGCAGGUCGCACCACACAUUGCAGUAGCUCGCUCGCUUUCACUCUCUCUCUGAAUGCACACACAGCAGUGGCAGCCCCUCUCUCUCACGCUCGUUUUGUCGCUCUCACUUUCUCCGUCUCUGGUCACCAUCUCACCUUCCGGUCUAAACUGUUGUCGUCGCAGCCGCGUUCAGCCGUCGCCAUCGUGCCGGCCGCUUGAGACAGUGAGUUGAGAUUCCACUUUUUAAUUUUUUUUCAUAAAAUUUUUGCCUGAAUUUGAUUAGUCAAAUACUCAAAUUAAUUGCGUUGUGAGUAAUACUGUAAUGAUUUAAUUUGCCCUGCAUCCCCUGCAGAAGGUAAGCAACUCCAUUUUUAGGGUUCGUGUAGUAGUGUCUUGACUGAAUCGCCUUAGUAAUCAUAAGGUCAGUUUUCUCAAGAAGGGCAACUUCGAUCUUUUGGCAUUUUCAGUGCUGCUUCUGAAUCUCUGUUUACUGUAGCCUGCUUCUACAUGUGAUUUGAGGGCCAAGAAUUUAUCUCAAGGGAAAAUCACAUUAUGUUUCAAUUCUCUGUUUGACCCUUUUAACUUUUGAAUAUCAACAUUAUAUGUUUAGUGUUCCGUCAAUUGUUUUAUCAAAUACAUAGACCUUUGGGCUUUAGACACUAGUGUUCAAAAUUAGCAUCUAGUUUUUAUGGUAUCUUUGAGCAGGGGUUUCGCUUCAUUUGGUUGAAUAAAAGAUCAGUUUUCAUUGUCAUGGAUCAAAAAAAAAAAAAAAGGCCUUGGCCACUAGUACCUCAGGAGGUCAAAGCCAAGGCUUCCAAAGACAAUGUUCCCAUGAUCGAUGUGACUCAAUUUGGCUACUUUAAGGUUUUAGGUAAGGGCCUUUUGCUUGAGAACCAACUCGUUGUGGUGAAGGCCAAGCUUGUUUCCAAAAUAGCCAAGAAGAAACUUAAAAAAUCUGGUGGGUCUGUCGUGUUUACUGCUUGGGUUUAGUGUUAUUGCUUUUAUAAUUUUUUUUCUGUUAUUUUGGUUUCAGCUUUUGAGGAUUUGACUAUAUAGUUUUGGAUAUUUAUGUUAUCAUCGGAAACUUUUUGUUUUAUAUUAAGGCAUGUUAUUGAUUAAGAAGAAGAAGAAGAAGAAGAAGAAGAAGAAGAAGAAGAAUAUUUUGCAGAAAAUGUUUUAGUUUCUUUCUUCCAUUCGGCAUUUGUAGUAUUUAUUUGAUUCGAUUUCUGUCAUGGUGUGUUGAUUAUGCGGAUGAUAAGAUACUACCUUGCUCCUUUACUUAUGUUUGAUUCCUUAUACUAGAAACAUACCUCUAGUAGAGUUGCCAUUUAUCUACUUUAUUGUUGUAAAAUCUGUUAUAAAAUGUAUAAGCAAUCAUUCAUUUGAACUCUCUUUAUAUGCUUAAAAUCUGAAUUCAUGUACAAGGUGUUAGUGUCAAUGUUGUUGAUCAUUUCAAUAAGUAGUGCCAAUUUAUAAUGACCUUGGUGCAUUUCUAUUCAGUCAGUAAACUUUUGUCAUUUAAGUUGUUUAUUUGUUUAACAAAUGUAUAACUAGUUUCUACAAAUUUACUUUGUGUAUAAUAGAUGAUUCAAAAUCUUGGCAUAGAGGAAAGUGAAGUUUCUGAGGUAAAUAAGGUACUUUACAAAAACUAUACCACAUCAAUGGUUGGUCUAAGAUACAAUAUAUAUGUAAGUUUAAAUGCACUAUUAUUUAUAUACAUAUCCUUGCCAAAAAAAAAAAAAACCAAUAAAAGCAGUUUCAUAAACUGAUGUAAAUGUUGUUAUUAUUGUUAAUUUGCAGGCUAUCAGCUAUGAUGUCGACAAUGGUGACUAUCAUAGGUAACAUUAUUUUCCUUUCUAAUUCAUCUGAAAGUGUUAAUUUGCAGGGGCUGUUUCUACUACAGAAUAGCAACAAGACAGCCCCUGUAGAUUUCUAGUGGUUGUUUUCACUGCACAACAGCCCCUACAGAUUUCCGGGGGAUGUUUUGUUGCUAUUCUAAAGUCAAAAAAACUCGUAUAAUUUUUUUGGGCUAUUUUGCAAUGAAAAUACUUUUGAGGUUUGUUGAGGAAGGAGGGGAAUGAGAGCGGUAGUUUUUUAGAAGGCUUGAUGAGAGUUUCAUAAAUUUGACAAGUUUUAUGAGAUUAAAGUGAAAGAAGUUUAUGCUAAGGCUGAAAGUUUGAGUGGGUAAAUGGAUGUUUUGAUUGCAGAUUUCUGUUGUUUGAUUAUAAAAAAUAGGAAGGUUUUAAUUAGAUUGACUUAGAUGUUUUGUUUUCUGUGACUUGUAGCAGGUUAUCCAACAUGGCUUCUUUAGACAACUUAAGCUAAGGUUCUUUAUUUCUAUAACUUUCAGUAUUAUUGUAAUAUUAUUUCUUAUUAUUUUAUUAGUUGUUGAAACAUCCUUCAAUUGCUUUGUUUAACUACUCGCAAUCAAUUUGUUUUCCAUAAUCUAUUUCCAUACUAAUUGAUUUUAAUUAUGUUGUUGUAGGUGGGGAAAAAAUGAAGCUGCAUAUGGAUAUUGAGUGAUGUUCUUGUGCUUCUUUUUGGUGGAAACUAAAUUAGUACUUUGUGGUUGUUGAAAACUUAAUUUAGUACUUAUAUUUUUCUUUUCCAGAUAGUGGUGUAGUUGAAUCAUGUGAAUUUGAGUGAUGUAUUUGGGAUGUUUAUUAUGUGAAUUAUAUUGUGACAUUUUAUAUAUUUGAUAUAUUUUGAGCUUUCUUUUAGUUGUAAAACAAACAGGAAAAAUAUAAUUAGAAUAAAAAAAAUUUAUUAACCAAUCCUCAAUAACAUUACGAAAUACUGACAUUAAAUAUUUAAAUUGAAAUGAAUAUUUUUUGAUAUUAUCGAGCUAGCUUGUUAUUGAUACUAUAGUCACAUAAAUCACUGACAUGUAAAUAGUAUCAUCAAAUAUUAACAUUAUCGUAUCAUUAUUUUGGUGAUACUAUAGUGACAUGAAUUACUGAUACAAAAAUCACUGACACUAAAAAUUAGUGUCAGUGUGUUCUGGCUUGAGCAUCACUGACACAAUUAACAAGUGUCAAGAAAAGUAAUUACUGACACUAAUUUAGUGUCAGUAAAACCCAUUUUUGUAGUAGUGAUUGCAAUAAAUCUAAAGUCCAUAAAAAAUAUGAUUCCAUCAUUUUACUAUUAUAUCUAGACAAAACCCAUUAUUUUACUACAUUUCAUUGGCACCGAUAGUUGACCUGUUGGCUGACUGAUAAAAUAUCAAUUUUGCACUUUAUAUUAAUUGUUUUUUGGUUAAAAAAUAACACACAAAGUAUUACAAUAUUAUAAAUUCAAAAUAUAAAGUAGUUACAAAUAAUUCCUAUUAGCCUAUGAAUAUAAUAUUUGAUACCUCUAUUUGUGUAAUUUUUUUCCAAUGGUGAAAUUGUUAUUUUUUUUGUACUAACGGAAAUGUAGUAAAAUCAUAAGUUUUGUAAAGAUAUAGUAGUAAAAUGAUAGACUAAAAUACUUCUUGUAGUUGUUUGAUAUAUUGUAAUUCUUAAAGUAGUCAAUUGAUAAUAUCCCCUAAAAUAAAUGUUCGUAAUAUGUUCUCAUUUUAAUGCAACUGAUUGUUUAAUAAAAUUGUAUUUCUUUGUUAAUCUUUUAUCAUGUGCAUGCUCAGUGAGAAUUUGACUUGCUAGAACACAAGUUUGACUCUUCAUUUAAAUGUCUCUUGUAUCAUAUCCUUCAAUGUUGAGUGUGAUUCCAAUAAAAUUGAGUAGGGAGAUCCUUAAAUACCUUUUCCUUUUUUCCAAGGGCCUGCCAAAUUGCUCUAAGUGGUUCUACCCUUUAUCAAUGAAUAAUGAAAAUAAAAUUUUUAUUAAAGCAUUCUGUUCCUUAAAUGGUGACUAAUAGUACCCUUUUUUUUUUGGAGAGGAAAGCCAAACGCCCAAAGAGGAUCAUUUACUUUCCUCUAAUGUAUUUUCUAAUUCGUUUUGAGCCUUGAAUGUCUGUUUUGGUGCGUAUUCUCAUUCCAUGUCGAAUCUUAUCCAUAUGGACAACCCCACUUACAAAAAAGUCUAAUGAAUCUAUUGAAGUUCAUAUGAGGUUUGUGCUUUAGAUUUAGACCUCUCUCUCUCUCUCUCUCUCCACUUACAUGUCUUUCACUUACCUGUUUGCAUGCAUGCCCAUGCACACACUUUCAAGAUAAUACACGGUCACUCGUACUUCUGUUUUGGUUGAAUUACUGGCUGCUAACCUCUGUAAUUCAGUUUGAAACUUGCCACCCUUAGUGCUUCACUCAAAUGGUUGGUUAGGGUGAGAUCUGUAUCGUUUUCCUGGUCUCUUUCCAAGGUUAUCUAAAGGGAUUUGGCAGUCUGAUUCUUUAGGGAAUAUCAUUGCAUAAGAUAUCUAUUGUUUGUUAAUGAAUAAUUUCUAUUUAACUAGUUAUCUAUAUAAAUUGGUAAAUUUUAACUGCAUAAUUUGCAUGCAAUAAGAUUUUAUAAGAAUCUUGUUUUCAACGCAUGACUUAGACUAAUGUGAUAUGUUGAGCAUUAAGCUACAAGAUCUGCACAUCAAAGUGCUUCACAAUGUUAAGGAGAAAGCAUCUUUUUCUGCUUCUUCAUGUGAUUUAAAGUUUCCAUGGUACUUAUCUAAUAAAAUAUCUUUCAAGACUUUGGAAAUGCUUUUAUGUAUGACUGAGAGAAACUUGUUGGGUUGGUUUUUAGCAACAGACGGAGUUAUGGACUUUGUGUUGACUUGUUAUUGAUUAAGACAGUACAUCGGCUGAUCUAUUGGCAUCAAGCAGCAGAUGCAGAAAUUAUGGGUGGCAUACCAUUGUAUCCAAAUAACAUACUACAUUGAUUUUUCUGACUUUCUGUUGGCCUCCGAGUGAAAUGCAGGCAUUUGCAGAUGAACUGGGGAUUCCUUUCCUGGAGACGAGUGCCAAAGAUGCAAUCAAUGUGGAGCAGGCUUUCUUGACCAUGGCCGGCGAGAUUAAGAAAA